rnacentral:lncRNA from 1 species
GAGAAAGGACGAAGGUCGUCCCCUAUGCCUUAGCCGUAGACUCUACAGUAUGCCAUGUUGUGUACCACACCUGAUGUGUGCCUUGCCACAAGUCUGUUAAGAGAUACAUAGAGUGAUCCAGGAUUGAAUCACCAAACAGCGGUCGAAGUUAUCCUUAGUAACUAAUAGACUAAGUAUUUUUUUCUCGAUUAUGGAGGUGGUUAAAGAGUUCGUCGUAAAGGGUUACGUUGAUGCAAGCUUUGACACUAAUCCUAAUAACUAUGAGUAGUAAAACGGAUUCGUAUAGUAGAGUAGAUAUUUGGAGUAUUUUCGAAUAGAACGUAGUAGCAACAUCUAUAAGAUGACAUAAAGAUUUGUAAAGCACACACGGAUCUGAAAGUUUCAGAACCGUUGACUAAAACCUCUCUCACGAGAAAGACGUGAUCAGACCCCAGAACUAUACUUGGGUGACUCAGCACACGCGGAGGUGUCGUCCGUUCGGCACUAGAUCGGGAAGGAUCGUGAUGAAGUUUGCGGGAUGGAUCGUGAUGAAGUUUGCGGGACGGAUCGUGAGGAGAUAGUACGACUACGGCGAUCUGAAUCGCGGAAACGUUCCACUACAUCAACCGCAUUAUAUACGCAUCUGCUUAACGAUCUACAAGGGUACGUAGAUCCAAUCUCCCUCUCGUAGAUGAUCAUCACGAUGAUAGGUCUUCGUGCGCGUAGGAAAAUUUUUGUUUCCCACGCGACGUUCCCAACAAACAGGGCUCCAAAUGGGCACACGGCGGAACAAAGACUUGCGACGGCAGAAAAGGUGUUUAGGGUUGCUCCCUAUGGUUUGUGGGAUAUAUUGGAAUUUAUAGGUUAGAGAGGGGCGCCGGGAAAUGCCAAGGGCAGCCAACACACAACAAGAUGCAAAAUUUUCCAUGUGCUGGCUACAUAUCCACUUAUAUUUGUUCAUGCCUCUGAUAUUUCUUUAGAUCUGUUGAAUUGGUAAAGGUAGUUGUUUAUUUCUAUCAUAACUAAAUCAUUAGUCCAUGUGCUGACUUUAUGUUCAGAUUGGUUGUAUCAUACAUGCAGAAACAGAUGGACUUCAAACCUGACCACGUUAAUGCAUUUUUAUGGGAUAUUACAUUAGCACAACCAACAGAGGUUCAGGAGUCGUCCUCUGUUGACAUUGUGACAAUGGUAACAUGUUGUACUCGAAUUACACAUUUACAUAUCUAUUUGCACAAGAUUUAAGCGUCUCUUCAUAUUUAGAACUUCAGAUACCAGAGGUCGAAAUUUGGGAAAACUGUAAUUUAGAUACAGUAGCCUUGGAGAAAACUAAACUCCACAAUAUAUAGGUUAUUCUGUAUAUUUCCUAGCUUGAGUGAGCUAUCUAAAUCCCUUAAUAUAGGUCAUUCUGCAAAUUGACUAUUAUUCAGAAUGGUGCUCUCAUUUGAUGUUGUCGUGACCACAAAAGUAGUCCAACUUAUCUAGCAUUGCAACAGUUGCCUAUACGAUGGUGCUCUCAUUUGAUGUUGUCGUUUCCACACAUGCAAUCACCAUUUAUCUUAAAUCUGGUUCAAGAUUUGCUGCUGUAUUUAGCUUGCUUGUCCUUACAUAUAUGUCACUUGAGUUCGACUAUAGAAACACAACACUCUCAGCAACAAAAAAAGAAUCAUUUUUUAUGUAGGCAUCUUAAGUAGAUCCUUUGCAUUUUUUGCGGGAUGCCACGACACCCACGACAUCCCCAUUGGAUCCGCCACUUCAUCCAAUAACAUUAUGUCUUACACACAAGUAUUGUUUGGACUAUGAUUGACAUGCUAAGGAAGGGUUUUAUGACUUGAUCGUCAUGUUGAAUAUAACGCAACAACUUUUUAUACACAUUUAACCAUCUUAUAUCAUGCUAAGGAAGAGGUUUUAUUACCCGAAAAAAGGAAGAGGUUUUAUAUUCCUAAAUGAUAACGCCCACAUGUGUGGCACGAGGUAACAUGGUUCACGCGCCUUUAUAACCAUUCAUCUUGCGAGAGCAAACAUAUGACACCAGCGGAUAUUUUUUGUUUUUGUUUUUUAGACUUAAAAUUGUUUGAUCUCUUAAAUAAAAUAUCAAAUUAAAAAUCCUCUUUCAUCAUUAAAUCCUUCUUCACGAGAUAUUUAAAACUAGAUCUCAUAUUGAUAUAUUUCGAUGACUUUUUUUGGACUAUAAGUUGCCACAUGUUUACACUCAAGUUGUCGUAGGGUUUACAAUAAAGUUUCCACGACAUGUUUCAUCUAGUUUUUCUUCUAGAUUUAAAUCUAUCAUUGUAUUUUAACUACUUUUCACUGCAAUUUUUGUUAACUGACUAUGGCAAAUUUUAGUAAUUAACGAUGAUAAAUUUAAUUCAUGGGUCAUGACAAUUUUUGGUAAUUUAUCAUGGCAAAUUGAGUUUAUAGAUCAUGGCAAUUUUAGUACUUUGACCAUGACAAUUCUAGUAUUUUGAACAUGCAAAAUAUUUUUUGUAUGAACCAUGACAAUUUUUAGUGCAUCUAUCAUGAUAAAUUUAAGUAAUUCACCAUGGCAGUUUUAGUAUAUGAUUCAUGGUAAAUUUGAGCAAGUGACCAUGCAUUUUUCAAAUAAAUGAUGACAUAUUUCUUUUUUACUUAUGAAUCAUGUCAAAAUUAUUUGAUGGAUCAUGAAAAUUUUUAGUAAUUCAUCAUGACAAAUUUAUUUUGUUAAUUUCCUUUUUUAUAACAUGUCAAAGUUUAUUUUAAACAUAAAAGAAAAAAUAGUUCAAAGAUGUGCCAGUGGUACUCGGAGACGCGCACGCCGUUGCCGUGGGGCGACAUGCACCUCCCCAACAACUGGCACCUCUCCGCGGACCGCGUGCCUAUCCCACCGGUCCCUGUGAGCGCCCACACCAGUCGAGAGGAAAUCCAUCGUCGCCGCGCCCACCUGCCCCCGACCUCAUCCACGACUGGAGGUACGUCGUGGACUCGCUGCUCUAGGAUAUGUGGCUCCCCGACGAGCACGACAUCCAGCGACAGUCCUACUUUGCAGGUCGGCCGAUGGUCACUAUUCCCGUCGUGCGAAGAGGUCGUGCACGCGCCACCGCAGCCGGUCAGCAGGCGGCUCUGCCAGUCCACCUCUGGCAACCACCUCCAUAACGUCGACCUCACCGGCGACGAGGACGACGACCACGGGCGAUGGUGACGGUCCUUAUCUUUUUUUAAUGUUUUAAAUUAUCUUUGUUUAUAUUUAAUGCGAGUACUUGGGUAAUGUAAACGUUUUAAUGUCUGUGAUAAUAUUUUUGAGUUGCUUUUAAUGUUUUUAUUUUGGGUUUUGGUGUUUUUUCGCGUCCGAACAAAUGGACGGUUUGGGAUGUGGUCAACCCGUUGGGCGCACCGAUGGUUGCACGACCGCAAGCGGACAGUCGUGUGUGUUUUCCUACCCCAAGCGAAAGAAAAGCGGACGAACCGACGUUCGUUUUGGGUCACGCGUUAGAGUUGGCUUAAGUCUUUCUAGAGGUUCCACUAGCAUACUAGAUAAGAAUGUAUAUAGACAUACUUAAAAAUAUAACUUUACUAAUUUUACUUCGCAUGCAGAGUAAUCUCUUAAAAACUUACAUUUAGGAACAGAGGCAGUAGGUGUUACAGCGAUCCUUAUUUUUUCUGAGACGACGAAAAUAUUGCGUCAACUGACAUCUCUGAGUCCUAGGGUGUACGCGCACUCUAGCUCGACCGGCGGACGAUGGGCAUCGGUGUGGCCACACAUCCGCGCGGCGGGCGACGGUGACGCCGAGGGGACAGGCGCGGGUACGAGCGUGCGGAGGGAGGGAGGGAGCGUGGUCCCCGCGGGGACAGGGGGCCGCACAGUGCACGUGAGCCCAGCGCCCCGUCCCCGUCCCCCAUCCCACGCACGGAGCCGCACCGUCCCGUUUUCCCCAACAUGCCACCACGUGAUCACGGAAACCCGAGGCCCCUCGAGCCCACGCCGCGCCCCCCCGCUCCGCUCAUCCUCUGCGCCACCGCGGCCACACCACCGUUCGUGGCGCGUCCGUGUGUGUGGCCAUCCAUCCCAUUCCUGCUGUGCCAGUCCACAACACAAGUGUCCAAUUUCAGGAACACCAAAUAGAUGUAGACUAAUCGUAGCACUGUACUGUAAUUCCGUUAUUUCGAGGCACGGCGGUACGGGAGGCCCGCGCUUGCCGCGGUGAAAGCUGGAAACGGCACCACUACCGUACGGAGGCAACUUUAUUUUUACUAGAGACUGACGGUGUUGCGGCCAUGAUCAGCUGCUGGCAGCCGUGCUUAUUUAGUCUGGUCUGCUGGAGUUAUUGGGUCAUGUGAUGUUCGUGUCGCCUUCAGUCGCCUGCCGUCCCUGACAAAACCACAGCCAUCUCAUGCGGACCAUAUGACCGACGUCCAAUCCAUCCAACCGCACACACACCUGCAGACAACCGGGGAAGGAACCCAGCUGGGACUGAUGGAGUAGCCGUAGCCUCGGACGCUUUGCAUAUGCGGACGCCCGCGGGUUCCCGUUUCUCGGCCUGGCUGACUGAAUAAACAAACAAACAAACAAACAAGCAAUGCACAUGACCACACGAUGCCCGGAGAGAGUUGAGUUGAGAUCUAGGAGUAGAUUAAAAUCUGGCCGUGUUUUAAUAAAGGCUUGAUGAUGCGAAGUUACCUCGAAGCAGGUCAUCAGUGGCGUGCACCGCAGCACCAAAAAAGGCCCUCCAGGUCCAUCGCUCAAUUCGGAUCACCACGCUGAAAACGACCCGUCUUUGAACGGUUCUCGGUUACUUGUGCAAAACUAACAUGGCGACGUUUAAGGAUGCACUACAGUCACAGCUUACAGGGGAACGUACUGCGUAUCUUGCGAGAAAAAGGUGGUAAGAAAGUGACGGUGCAUUCCUCAGAAAGGGGCUCCAGCUUUCUACUGGCUCCCAUUACCCAGCCCGCGUGCGCAUCCGGAAUUGCAGAUUUUUGGUGGAUAAGGAGAUCCGAUGCCAAUUGGAGCUUCAGGAGCACAUGAACGGCACUGCCCCGAUUAUACUAAUAAAAGCACUGCCGGCUAAGCGCAUACGUGCUCAGGCCUUUUAAAAAAGUUCUUGGUGACUGAUGGACGAUGAUGGGAGGGAGACCAGAUUUUUUCUGGGUGCAGGUUUGAGGACUGUACCUUGGUCAAAAACUAAAUGGCAUUGGCCUGUAGCAGGGUAAUGAACAUCACGUGGAAGCCAGACUGAUGCUGGACUAUUUGCCGGGCGAACCGCCGUCCGGGGGACGAUCUGCCUCUCCGUGAAUAUCAAUCAUGUCGAGUUACUUCGCUGCACUGCAGUAAUCGGUAAACAGCAAACCCACUGGGAACCUGGUACUGUAGUAGCCAUGCUGCAAGUGUCGGCCACGUCAAUGUGGAAUAUAUACUUGUGCUAAUAUAAAUAACACACAGGUGAAGAAAACCGCAUAUCGUAAAUGAUACUCCCUCCGUCACGGUUUAGAAGACACGCAUGAGCAAUCUCUCGGACUAAGAUGAAUUUUGAUUGGCUCUAUUUUUUUACAAGUGCUCAUACAAUAACCGCACAACGUCUAACUAUUUAAGAAGAUAAUGGACAGUAACUCACACAACCACUAAACAAGGAAUGCAUGCAAGAAAUAUCACGCGCCUUAAUCCUCUUCUAUUCUGAAAAUGCAUGUAAACGAAACCGCGCCUUCUAAACCGGAGGAAGUAUCAACUACUAGUACGUAGUUUUCUUUCUUAAUAUAAUAAUGGUCAUGAACACACAUUGGAACAGGCAUAAUGGACCGGGAGACGCAAGCAAUGUCGAAUAAGCAUGUCUUAGAAUUGUCAGACACAAGAUGCUCAAGGGAAAAGGAUCUUGACAAAUGUGCAGAAUGACCAAGGGGAAAGAACCAUCGUUGAUCAGUUUGUUUGAUAUCAGUCACUGUCAACUGCCAUACCAACCCUCCGUGCAUCAUGAGGCAUGUCUAUGAGACUGAAUUAGUCUGUCGACAUAGAAAUUUUGUACCAAAUUGUCCCAUAAACCAGAGCCAUGAUGGAACAAUAUCUUACCGAAGUCGAACAAUCAAGCAAAAACAGAAUAUCACAGAGAAAAAACAAAGAAAAUAUCACAGAGAAAAAACCCAAAGAGGCCAGCAGUCCAACUUUCAGGUAUUGUCUGAAUGAAACAUGACCAUCAACUAUCUGCUCUGAAUAAAUGUGGCCAUCACUCCAUAUAGUUGCUUCAGAUCGUGUUACAAUGCUUGAGGCACAAACGAAAAUGAAGAGUGGGAAAAUGAACCUAAAUCUACCUGACAUGUACAUAGUACCUCCACUGAUUACAAAAUACCCUCAAAGCACUUACAUGCUUAGAUUUAUGGUGUCCUUGAGAAGUUUGCCGACACUAGCUUUUACUUCAGCAGUAACCUGCAGUUCCUGAGGACAUGCAUCCAAAACAAACAAAGCAAGGAUCCUCAUAAUAUCUGACAGGAUUACUUUAUCAUACCUAGGCACAUCCUGGUUAACGAACUGGCAUGAACUUCUUAUCUUACAAGAGCUGCAUACCUGAAAGACAACAACAUGUAAGAUAGAAAUCCCAAACAUGUAUUGGGAACAAUUGUUCUAGUACCAAAGUUACCGAGUUGAAAGUCAUAUACCUGGUCUUCUCGCAAGUUGAAGAAAGCUCGUAAUCUCUUGGAUGCAAAAACUGUUCUUCGCUCAACAGUUGGGCAGCCAAACAGUGCUAGCUUCUUCAAGUCACUCCCCGACAACCAUCUGGGGUAACAGGCAAAAGGUUCAGCAACAGAUGAAUCAAAUGAUUAGUAACAGUGCUACCAUGUUAUUUCCGCCUUUUACCUUAGGCUAAUAAUAUAAACACACUAGUUCACAAACACACACACACACACACACAAAGAACUAUGCAGCUACCUUUUCACAUUAUUCAGUGAUAAAAUAAAGGUAGCAAACAUGGGAACAAGAACAAUAGUUUCCAAAGUUGUUGAUGCGAUAUGCCCUAAAGGCCCAAAACCACCAUUAGCCUUGCCAUGGCAACAUCCAUAGCACUGAAAAUUGAACACACAGAGUUCCCACUUUCAAAAACAAUUGAUCCUCUGCAAAUAAUUAAUCCACUACUUUGUCUUAAGAUGACGUUCUCUGCAAAUGUACCUACGAUUAGACCAUAUAAAUGGAAUAAUGAACUCAAUUCAACAAAAUAGAAGCAUGUAUGUUCUCAUCCAGCAGGACAGCACACUGAUUGACAAGGCUUAUAAGAUCUACUCCCUCCAUCCCAUAAUAUAAGAGCGUUUUUGACACUGUCUAGUGUCAAAAUGCUCUUAUAUUAUGGGACGGAGGGGGUAGCUUAUAGAUGGCAUUUCAAACAAAAAUGAGCAUCAAUUUGGUUCUUGCACUAUCUCUGAUUAAUCUAGUCGCUUGAAAGGAUCUGUUAUUGACUGAUGCCUUCAAAAUUACAACUUACAACUACCAAAUUCAAUCUUUCUGGAGCAAACUUAAGCAACUCACUGCUAGAAUCAGGUUGGAUGCCUUUGUCAUGCCAAAGACUCCGGCAAAGUCAAGAUUAGAAACAUUGAAAAUGUCACUGCAAUCCAUAGUAUAAAUCUCAUAUUCAGAAACCCCAGACCAUUCUAUUUCCAAUUCAAGUCAAGCUACAUGAUACACACUGCUACUUCUCCUGGAUAUUACCCGAAAAUAUACUUUGUCAGGUCCAAUGAAAUCAGUCGUACAAUUCAUCCACCAUUCCAGGCCAAACUUACUACAAUACCAUCUUUCCGGAAAUGUUCUUAAAUACAAGAUGGACUGCUAGUGAAAACUGACCCUGAAACCACAGCCACUUGACUCUCAAAAUCUGCAAGUUUGAUGGACAUUUAAUAGCACCCAUGAUCUCUCGAAGCAUCCAUAUGUGAUCCACUAACCGUCAAGGAUGCUAGACCACUGAGGUCACAAGGAAUACGAGAAUCGGAACUCACUUGGCGGCGACCUGGUGAUCGUUGCCGAACCGCUCGGCGGCGGCCUUGACAGCGUCUGGGGACACUACGUGCGGCGCAUCCGAGAGGUAGGGUCCCGGAAGGUAUCGCCCCUCGUGAAGCCGCCGGAGCAGCGCCGACGCAUCCUCCCCCCACGGCUGCCUUGGUUUCGGCAUCGGCUUCCGCCGCUGAGGAUCAUCGCCGGACCCCGGCGACGGAGGGCGAGGCUUAGGAAUGGGUCGGGGCGUGAAGAGGGAGGAGAGUUUCGGAGCGGCGGCGGCGGCGGCGGCGGAGAGACGGCGAGAGGCGGGGAGUGCCAUGCACGGGUUUAGGGCUUGUGUGCCUGAGAUCGGGAAGAGGGAGACAUCUCCGGUUGUGUUUCUUAACCGUGCGAUCAACAUUCUAUGGGCAGAUUUCACGGUUUUUCCUGUCUCAUGUGAACUCAAUAUAGAGAUUAGAGGACCCACUUUCUGCUUCAGAUUUCCAACAUUAUAAAUUUUUUUAGGGAACAUUUUAUAGAUAUUUUUACAGAUUUUUAAAUUUAAAUGAAUCAAUUCACCUUUAUGUAUUUUUGGGGGAAAAAAUCUUAUGUUCUACUCAAUUCAAUGUUUACUCGACCAAUUCGCAAUUUGAUAAAUAACCUGAUUGAACCUAUCAAUAUCUUAUCUCGAGAAAGGAAAUAAACAACUAAUAAAGAUCAAAGCAGUUAACACACAAUUUACUAACAUGGAUUUUACUAAGAACUUGUUCUUUAGUAAGAUCUCGACGGCAUCCCAAAAAUUAUGUUAUAUCUGAAAUGGAAAAAAUAUCUCGUGGAAUAGUCUCAGAGCAAGGGAGGGUACUAAGAGGAGAAGAUUAUUCAUUUUGGUUUCUUAGCUUCCACCGGCCGGAUCGACGUUUCCCAUGACUCUCGCAUCCUCAACGGGAGUUGUGUGACUACGAUAGUGUAUCAAUUUGAGCUUCGAUGGUGUAGAUGAGUAGGUUUUGGAGUCUAGGGAAGGGAGUUGAGACGAUGGUUUAACGGCGAUCUCUCCGUUAAAUAAAACUCCCCCGGCUUUGCAUAUGCUUCCAUGGCAUGUUGUUCGCCAUCGACAAUGGGUGAGUGGAGGUGGGUCUUUGCCACCCGAAUCUUUGUGUUGACUAUGUUUUAUGUUGGUUCUUUUGUAAGGUGGAGAAAGUUCUUCCUUCCCAAUACCACUAUGCGGAGUUUCCGUAUUUGAAAUAGAGAUCUAGUUGAUCCAUUGACCUUAUCGUGAUACCCAAGGUGUAUUUAUCGGUCUGAGAUUCCAGACAACCCAAAUGACUCAAGAAACUUCAAAAACCUCAAGGAUGAUUCCUCCAAUGGAGUCCUUAUAGCGGUGAUGGUUGUUGAUGCAACAAAGCCCUUUCUAGUGUAGGUGAUUCUUGUCGGAGAUCGUGCUUUGUGUUUUUUCUAAUUUUGUUGUAUCCUUAUGUGAGUAUAACCAUUUUUGUUCUUAAGAAUGAAAUAAGCAGCCUUCAAUGCGUGGACUGCAGUAGGCUUGUACUUGCUCUGUUCCUAAAUAUAAGACCUUAUUUAGUCUGUAUUGAAAUAUCUAAAAUGACUUGUAUCUAGGUGUCCAGUCGGUAUUUGAAUCUUUAAAAUAACUUAUAUUUAGGAACAAAGGGAGUAUUAAGAGCAUCUCCAAUAGAAGACGUAAAUUUGAAGAUGUGAAAGUAGGUGUUGUAUAAUUUAUAUCACCAAAAACUGGUUUUUACAUCUCUAAAAAAGACCCAACUCCAACAGAUGAUGUAAAUUGGCAACUAUUGGAAAUAUUUCCUAGAGGCAAUAAUAAAGUGGUUAUUAUUAUAUCUCCUUGUUCAUGAUAAUUGUUUAUUAUCCAUGUUAUAAUUGUAUUGAUCGGAAACUCAAAUACAUGUGUGGAUACAUAGACAACAAAGUGUCCUAGUAAGCCUCUACUGGGCUAGCUCGUUGAUCAAAGAUGGCUAAGGUUUUCUAGCCAUAGACAUGAGUUGUCAUUUGAUAACGGGAUCAAAUCAUUAGGAGAAUGGUGUGAUGGACAAGACCCAAACUGUAAGCAUAGCAUUUGAUCAUAUCAAGUUUACUGCUAUUGCUUUCUGCAUGUCGAUGUAUCUGUUCCUAUGACCAUGAGAUCAUGCAACUCAUUGACACCGGAGGAAUGCCUUGUGUGUAUCAAACGUCACAACGUAACUGGGUGAUUAUAAAGAUGCUCUACAAGUAUCACCGAGGAUGUCUGUUGUGUUGACAUGGAUCAAGACUGGGAUUUGUCACUCCGUAUGACGGAUAGGUAUCUAAGGGCCCACUCGGUAAUACAACAUCACAAGAAGCUUGCAAGCAAUGUGACUAAGGAGUUAGUCACGGGAUCUUGUAUUACGGAAUGAGUACAAAGACUUUUUGAUAAUGAGAUUGAACUAGGUACGGAGAUAUCGACGAUCGAAUCUCGGGUAAGUAACAUACCGAUGGGCAAAGGAAACUUCAUACGGGAUUAGCUGAAUCCUUGACAUCGUGGUUCGAUAGAUAUAUAUCUUGGUAGAAUAUGUAGGAACCAAUAUGGGCAUCCAGGUCCCGCUAUUUUUUAUUAACCAUAGAGGUGUCUCGGUCAUGUCUGCAUAGUUUUCAGAACCACAUGGUCUGCAAACUUAACGUUCGGUGACGAUCUAGUAUAGUUGAGCAUUGCGUUGGUGACCGAAGGUUGUUCAGAGUCCCGGAUGAGAUCUCGGACAUAACAUGGAGAUACGGAAUGGUCUGGAGUUAAAUAUUGAUAUGUGGGAAGUUGGUAUUCAAGUUCCGGAAUAGUUUUGAAAGGUUACCGGUUUUGUCAUGGAGGUUCGAAAGAGUUCUGGGGGUCCAUCAGGAGGGUCCACCUAUCCCGGAGGGUCCCAUGGGAUGUGAGAGGUGGUGCACCAGCCCGUUAUGGGUUGUCCGCCCCUCCCACCUGAAGCACAUGCGGCCAAGGAGGUGGGUUGGCCUAGAUGUGGCCGCCGCCCUACCUAGCUUGGGGGCCAAGACUCUAAGGUGGUCGUCGCCCCACCCUAGGGGGAAACCCUAGGGAGCCACCCCUCCUCCCUCCCUCCUAUAUACUAUAGGAGAGGAAGGGUAGCCGCACCAGAAAUAGCCACGACGCUGCCCUCCUCUCCCUCUAGUAGUUCCUCUCUCUCGUUCUGUCGCGGCACCGCUUGGCGAAGCCCUGCCGCGAAAGCCGCACCACCACCGCCACCACGUCGUCGUGCUGCCGGAGAACUCAAGCUACUUCUUCACCAUCGCUCUCUGGAUUGAGGAGGUUAAGGCAUCAUCGAGUUGUACGAGUGCUGAACGCGGAGGUGCCGCCCGUUCGAUACUUGAUCAGGACGUCUGUGAUUAGAUCGCGGGACGGAUCGUGAUUGAAUCACGAAGACGUUCGCCUACAUCAAGCUCGCUUCUUAACGCUUCCGCUUAGUGAUCUACAUGGUAUGUAGAUAUGCUCCCCCUCUCGUAGUUGUUGAUCUCCAUAGAUUGAUCCUGGUGAGCGUAGGAAAACUUUUGUUUCCCAUGUGACGUUCCCCAAAAGUGGCAUCUUGAGCUAGGUCUAUGCAUAGAUAACAUGCACGAGUAGAACACAAAGUGUUUGUGGGCAUUGAUGUUCAGAUUGCUUAGUUCAUUAGUCUUAUUUUGAUUCGGCGGUAUUGUGGGAUGAUACGUCUCCAACGUAUCUAUAUUUUUUGAUGGUUCCAUGCUAUUAUCUUGUCAAACUUUGGAUGUUUUGUAUGCCUUUUAUAUCUUUUUUGGGACUAACUUAUUAACUCAGUGCCAAGUGUCAGUUCCUGUUUUUUCCGUGUUUUUGACCCUUUUCAGAGGAGGAUUUUAAACGGUGUCCAAACAGAAUAAAACUUCCGAAAAGAUUUUUUCCGGAACAGAAGAUACGCACCAGACUUGAGAACCAAGGCAGGAGCCAGCAGGGGACCCCACAAGCCCCCUAGGAGCGGCCACGGGGCCCGCAGAGGGCUUCUUCAUCAACANNNNNNNNNNNNNNNNNNNNNNNNNNNNNNNNNNNNNNNNNNNNNNNNNNNNNNNNNNNNNNNNNNNNNNNNNNNNNNNNNNNNNNNNNNNNNNNNNNNNAAACCAUCGACCGAUACUUCAAACCUGUGUGAACGACGAGGCGAUAAAUCAUACGUACAGGAUGGUCCCCCACCCCACACACCCACCCACCCAAAAAUCUCAGCAUGUGUACACAUAAGAAAGGAUUAAAAGGCCCAUAAUAAAAGCCCACUAGCGUCCAGAUAAGCAAAGAAACCUAGGACACUGUGUAACUGCUUCUCUCGUGGAUGAUUAGGUCUAUGUCGGUCAGAUUAGACGCCGACGCCGACGUGUGCCCUUGCUGUCCUCGUGUCUCGUAUACCCAUAUGCCUCUGAUCUCUCUUCUCCGCCGCUCAAGAUCUGAUUCGUACGGCGAGGCAGCGACACAACCUACUUCAUUACUUCAUCUAACGAACUAGCAGGUUAACAUAUACAUAUCUUUCUAAAUUCUCAUCUCGUAUCAGUGUUGAAAUUAUACAUCAAAUUGUAUUUUUUUAUUUUGUGAUUUGAAAUGCUAUCAAGAAUUAAUAUCUUGUAUGUUGAGAUUAUACAUCAGAUUUUAUUUGCCUUGUUUUGUGAUUUGAGAGCCUAUAAAAAGUUCAUAUCUUGUACGUGUCCUAGAAAUUAUUGUGAUGCAAAGUAUCUUCUACGAGUUCCUAUUUGUGAUGCACAAUUUUCCUAUGUGAACUGUAUACAAUAUAGCUAAUUUCUGAAAUUGAAAUUCAUCAACUAUGAACAGAAAAGGCGAUGCCAAACACUUUUAAGAUUAAUUUGUUUUCUAAGAAGGUUACUUAUAAAACUGAAAUUCGUCAACUCAGAAGAGAAAAAAUUGCUAAUGAGACUGCUGAGCAAGUUCUCAACCUUGUUCUUUAUAAUUAUUUUUGGCACUGGAUUUUGUCAAUCUACUUGGCUUUGCCCCCCCCCACCCCACCCCACCCCCCCACCACCCAAAUCCUGGCUCCGCCCCUGUCUACGANNNNNNNNNNNNNNNNNNNNNNNNNNNNNNNNNNNNNNNNNNNNNNNNNNNNNNNNNNNNNNNNNNNNNNNNNNNNNNNNNNNNNNNNNNNNNNNNNNNNAGGAUCAUAUGCAUGAUCUUAUGAAAUGCUUGCCACAACAAAAGCCCUUUCACUCACUUGAAAUUUGCAUUGAAACACUCAGCGAGGUUAUUGGUCACAUAGUCUACUUUGCAGAUUUCAUUGAAUUUGCUUCUUGACCACAACUUUCCAUGAUGUUCAUCCAUGUACUCCUUCACCAAAGGAUUAAGUCACAUCCCUAACUACCCUUUGAAGUCUAGGAAGAUUGUGCACAUGUUUAAUAUUGCAAUUAAAAGUGAAAAUGGAAAUCAAAGAGAAAAACCCUAGCAACUCUAUAUUAAAAGUAAUUCAAACUUGUGACAAAUCAAUGAACUCAAAAUGGCCUUCAUAAACAUCCAUCAUUUUUUAUAAAUAUUGGAAACAACAAUUCACGGGUGGAUUUCUUUUUCAAAAUAUUUUUGGCAUUUUAUUUAAAAUACAAAAGCCACUAAAAUCAACUAUAUAUUUGAUUUCAAAUACUUCAGAGUUUCAUAAAAUGUUGAAUCUUUUAUAUGGGGUUGGAAAUAUUCCAAAUAACACCCCAGAGUUUAUUCACUAUUUUAGAAAUAGUUUGGAGCCAAAAAUAAAAUCAAACAAAUGUCAGAAAGUUUAAAACAGAAAACGGAAAAUAAAAGAAAUGGAAAAGAGUUACAUGUCGCUCACCUCGCCCAAGCCCAUCCCCUCGUUGUCGUCUUCCUCUUAGCAGUCGGCAGCACGAGGUGGUCGCCGCCUCCUCCGGCGAGGCCACGCACCUGCGUGCCUGCCUAGAUCCUCCAACGCGCUGGCAAGGAGGAUAACCCUCCCCGCAACCCAUUCCAGCUCUCUCCCCCUCCUCACUCGCCCCUCUACGCCUCUCUCUCUCUCUGCCGCCAUUGGAACCGAGCUCGAGCUCGCCGUCGUUCCUAGCCACCCCAAGCCCCCCCCUAAGAACGUCGUUCGCUCCCCCUCAUCGAGCACUUCAUCCCUGCCAACAGAAAAGAGACCCCGAGCCCUGCAUCGUCAGAUUGUCGUUGUCUUCUUCCUUGGGCCGUCGUUGAUCGUCGUCGUCGUUCUCCUUCUCCAGGUCGUCCCCAAGCAUGCUCUUCCACGCCUCUGCAAUCCCUGUGAGCCCAGGAUUGUUUCCCCCUGGUUUUCCCCCUCAAUCCCAUGCCCUAGCGCCCGAUUCCACCGGAGCCCCAAGAGAUCCGACGCGGGAGCUCAUCGUCGGUGAUGUUCCGAUGAUGGGUUGGUCCAUCUGAGACCACCAUCAGCUUCGGUGCAUCGUGUAGAUGCUAUAGGGCCCAAGCCCCGUCCCUUUUGCCCUCUGGAUUGAUGAAUUCGAUGUUUCCCGAGCUCCGGCAGCCGCUGAGCUCGUCGCCGGUGUUAGCUCCGGCCACUUUAGCCCCUAAGCAUAGCAAAAAUGGAUGCGCCAUCGAGUGGCCGUUCUCCUGGUGCCCUCCGUCGUCCUUUUGGUCGCCGGGGGUGCAAUCUCGAAGCCCUCCGCCGUCCCUGGAGUCACCGGAGGCUCGCUGCCGGUGAGUUUGAGCCCAUCGCCGGUGGGUUUGAUCCCCCUGGGUCUAUGACAGAUGGGGCCAGCCCCUCGCUAAUUAAAGUUUAAACUAGUAAAAAUAAAUAGUUAAUUCAAUUACUAAACAGUCACUCACAUGUGGGCCAGCCCCUCUUAAAUAACUAAUUAACUUAAAGUUUAAUUAAAAUCUGGCCAGAGUCACUAACCAGUGGGUCCCAUUGGUGAGGUUUGACUUUCAACGGCGAGUUGGACCUGCUGAUGUCAUGCUGAUGCAGUAACUCUAUUUCUGAUUUAAUAUAAUUCUAAAAAAUGCUAAAACUUUGGAAAUUCAUAGAAAAUUAAAUAUAACUCCAAAUUUGACAAAUAAUAUAUGCAAAUUGAUCAGAAAAAUUCAAUGAACACAAUGGUGCUACUCUCAUGCAUGACAAAGAAAGUUGUGAAACAACAUCGGGUCAAAACAAUUAAAUGAAUAUGAUAAAUAUGCUAUUUCAACUAAUAUUUGAAUUUGAAUUCAAAUCUGUAUCAUCCCAAAGGUUUGAUAGCCACACAAGCUCAUGCUACAUUUCAUUUCAUGCCAUGAUCAUUCAUCAUAUUGUUGCAUAUGAAUGUUAUUGAUUGUCGCUAUUAUUUCGGUAGGCUCUGCCCUUCCGGAUACGUCUGAAUAUCCGACUGACGGAUUUAAUCCCUUUGCUGAGCAACAAGGCAAGCACCCUUUUGAUCAUCCCGAUAUAAUCCCAUGUUCUUGCUCCUGCUCCCACUUAUUGCAUUAGGACAAAAUAUUUCAAAUGCUUUACUUCGGUAGCUGAACCUAUUCCUUUGCAUGACCUAUCAUAGUCACAGUAAAUAGCCAAACCUUGCAACCUAGCAUACCUGGUAGUUGUGUGAGCCAUGAUGUGUUAUUUCCUGCUAUGCUUGCUAUGCCUAGAGUUGUGUCGGGCCUGGUUCAUCUGGGUGGUGAAUAGGAGUGGAUGAAUGUGUUCUAGUGACAAAGUAUAAGUGUGGAACCUGAUUUGGUAAAGGUACCGAUGAAAGGCUAUGUAGGAGUACAUGGCGGGUUGUUUCAUUGGAACCGUCCUUAGGAACAGAGUUCCGUGUAUGUAAUCCAAGAAUAGAUACUGCUACUGCAACAAAAGACCUUCCAAUGGCGCCAGAAAUAGGCACGUCGACGGGAGAAUACUUGGCUUGAUCUUUCUGCUGCGGCUACGCCUUAAGGGACUUCCUAGGCAAGUGUGCAAAGGAUUUCCCCCGUGGCCUUGGAGCCUUGCGUUGGUGUUCCCUUGAAGCGGAAAGAGUGAUGUAGCACAGUGACGGUAAGUAUUUCCCUCAGUUUGAGAACCAAGGUAUCAAUCCGGUGGAGGAGUAUCACAAGAUCUUGCACAAACACAAAAGCUUGCUCCCAACGCUAUGAAGGGGUUGUCAAUCCCUUAUAGAUUGUUUGCCAAGUGAGAACUGAAAGCAACAAAGUAACAAAGAAAAGUAAAAGCGGAGGUGUAAACGAUGGAUGUGAAUAGACCCGGGGGCCGUAGUGUUUACUAGUGGCUUCUCUCAUGAAAGCAAGUAGACGGUGGGUGAACAAAUUACUGUCGAGCAAUUGAUAGAACCGCGCAAAGUCAUGACGAUAUCUAUGCAAUGAAUAUUUCUAUAGGCAUCACGUCCAAAACAAGUAGACCGAUACUGUCUGCAUCUACUACUUUUACUCCACACCGCUAUCCAGCAUGCAUCUAGUGUAUUAAGUCCAUAAGAACAGAGUAACGCCUUAAGCAAGAUGACAUGAUGUAGAGGGAUAAUCUCAAACCAAUGAUAAAAACCCCAUCUUUUUACCCUUGAUGGCAACUACUUCAUGUGUGCCUUCCUGCCCCUACUGUCACUCAGAAAGGUCACCACAUGGCAGAACCCACAACCAAGCACUUCUCCCAUUGCAAGAAUCAUAGAUCUAGUUGGCCAAACAAAACCCAAGACUCGGAGAGACUUACAAGGAUAUCAAAUCAUGCAUAUAAUAAAUCAGCAAAGACUCAAAUAUAUAUCAUAGAUAAUCUGAUCACAAAUCCACAAUUCAUCGGAUCUCGACAAACACACCGCCAAAGGAGAUUACAUCGGAUAGAUCUCCAUCAAGAUCAUGGAGAUCUUUGUAUUGAAGAUCCAAGAGAGAGAAGAAGCCAUCUAGCUACUAACUACGGACCCGUAGGUCUGAAGUGAACUACUCACGAGUCAUUGGAGGGGCGAUGAUGAUGAAGAAGAAGCCCUCCAACUCCAAAGUCCCCUCCGGCAGGGCGCCGGGAAGGGUCUCCAGAUGAGAUCUCGUGGAAACGGCAGCUUGCGGGAGCGGAAAAGUAUUUUCGAAGCUCCCCUGAUUUUUUGCGGAAUAUUUGGGAAUUUAUAGGCCAAAGAUCUAGGUCAGGGGCGGCCAGGGAGGCCACAAGCCUUCCCACCGCCGCCUCCCCCCUGGUGGCGGAGUGGGGGCUUGUGGGCUCCCUGGAGCCCACCUCGCCUGGCCCAGAGGCCACCUGAUCUUCUUCCGUUCGGGAAAAAAACAUUUCAGGGUUUUUCUUCCGUUUGGACUCCGUUCCAAAAUCAGAUCUGAAAAGAGUCAAAAACACGGAAAAAAACAGGAACUGGCACUUGGCACUGAAUUAAUAAGUUAGUCCCAAAAAAGAUAUAAAAGGUACAUAAAACAACCACAGAAGACAAGAUAACAGCGUGGAACCAUCAAAAAUUAUAGAUACGUUUGAGACGUAUCACUCCCUCGCUGGGCUUCCGGUUGAAGGUUGUCUAGGUGCAUGACGUGCACAUGGCGAUAAGUGGCGAGAGAGUGUGUGAUGAAGUACACCCCUGCAGGGUUAUGAUCUAUUCGAAUAGCCGCGUCCGCGGAUAUGGACUACUUGGAGACAUAUGUUGUUCGUAGACGACUUUAAUGGCUGCUCAUAAAAGUAUCAAGAUAAGCAUGAGUAUCAUGUAUGGCAUUUCCGUAGGGAGACGGAAAGGAGUUCAUGAUAGUGUAUUGUUGUGGUGGUAGUGGACUCGUGUACGACUUAUCAAAGUUGUUUAAAACUAUUUAAAAUUGUAGUUUAGUCUAGCCAAGAGUCAAAGCUGGCUUGCUGCAUGGAACACCACAACCCCCUUUGUUGAUAUAUGUGCAUGAGUAGAUACAUAUGUUCUAAAGUCUUGCUAAGUACUCUUGUACUCAUGUUUGCUAAAUAAUUGUUGCAGAGGAUACCCACGAGCCAACAAGUGGGUUCUUUCUACACAUCGAUGAUGACGAGUAGGUGGUGUCCCAGCUACGACCUGGCCCUUUCAGAAGGAAUCUGUAGAUAGUCAGGCUUUAUGCCUUUUCCUUUCAACUGUCUGUACUCAGACAGCUUUUAUGCUUCCACUUGGUUUGUAUAACUCUGCUUGUAUGACUUGAGUGUCGGGUCGUGUGACCCCUGCCUAUAUGAACAUAUUAUGCAAGACUCUUCCGAGUCUUCUAAAUAAAUGUUGUGUUGUCGUAUGGUUAUGUUGUGAUGCCAUUGUUGUAUCUAUGCAUAUCAAGUAUGUCAUGCAUACGUGUGAUGCACUAUGAUAUGUAUGGGAUUCGAAACCUAGUCAUAUGCCCUUAGUAGCUAUCUAUAUAGAGAAAUGCCCCUUUGUGCUUCCAACGAGCCUUGGUAGUUCUCUACUGCACCGGACACAUUGGUUGACCGGCAUGUAUCCUUCUUAGUUGUUGUGUCUGUCCCUAUGGGGAAAUGUCAUGCGGUGUAAUGGAGUCCUUGUAGCUUGCUACGACUCGUCUACACUCGCCGAUGACCGACACCUGCUUUGUUGCGUUAUGUAUGCCUAUCUCUGUACACUUGAGCCACUUGAGUUUAUGACUAGUUAUGUCGACCCGGGUUCUUUGACAUUGGAAUGCUAGCGACACAAAUGCAUACGUGAGUCAAAAGGCGCAAACGGUCCUGGCUAAGGUAAGGUGGCAGCCGUGGGGUUAACCGUGCGUGAGACCGCAAAAGGAUGCGAUGUGUUACAGGCUGGAUUCCUAUGGCUUAGGAUCGGGUCCCGACAGCGUUGGUAUCAGAGCCUGACUGAUUGUAGGAUUACCAAGCCAAACUUGUCGGAGUUGGGUCUAGAAUUGCUUUAUUUAUAUAUAAGGGAAUUGUUUGUGGAAGGAAACGUAAGAUUCUUGCUUCUCUUCUCAAGUCAUUCUAUUCUGGUCAUCCUCGUCUUUUCUACGGGGGUUAAGAACUAGGUUACUUAUCUAUCUCUCAAGAUUGUGUGUUACUACCCGGUAAUUGUAGGAAAACGGUUCGAGAGUUACUUCAAGUUUUCUUUCAAAAGAAAAUAAGGAUUUGAUGACCAUGGAUUUGAACUUGAUAGUUGAGUGGUUAUGCUAUCCUAUCUUUGGUGGGUUGUCUCAAAAUUGUUUUUGAGCAUUUACAGCCGUUAUGCUGCCCAAUUUUAUCUCUAGAGCUCUAAUGCCUUUGCGUUACUCUCUGUUUCAGAUGCCUGGCUAUCCUUUUUGUCAGGUGGUCUGUCUGACUAGGUGCAUUGAUGUGCCGGGUCACACGGCCAUGCUGGUCAGGAUGAUGUCAGUAGCCGGUUACCGCUGGUACCCAGAGUAUACAGUGGAGGAGCAGUACCGGGAUUUCAACCACAGUCAGUACCUAUGCACUAUAAGGGUAUUCCCAGAUUACCCUGGAGCGAGGAGCCGAUCCAUUGGUCUUAUGGAUUGGGGGUUACUGUUGACAUGGCGGUACAAGAUGCUGCCUAUUCAAUGUUGACCAUCAUGAGAGCAAGACAUGCACUGCUGCAGAAUUCAGAGUUCUGCUAUGUUCCCGCUUCUCGGCCAGGAGAAGAAGGAUACCUCAGUGGGGUCUACUUUGAUUCCUCUUUGGAGGAUCCGCUGCUGCAGUCUACCACUGAGAUGUUGGAGAAUAGACACACAGAUGCUCGUGCCCUUCGUAUGGAGCUCUAUGCUACUCGUGCCGGCUUGUGGACAGCUCUGACACAGCUGGCGCCUGUAGUUCACACAGGGUAUGGGGAUAUGGAGAUGUUGAACCCCGUUAGGACUCAUCUUCCAGCUCAUGUUGACUAGCUGCUAUAGGAGGAGUCACCCCUCUUCGGGGACCUCUACUACCACCAGUCAGGGGACCAAGGCCACACCCGUGUCCAUACGGUUCCUAGGGGUCUUAGGCUCGAGUAUUUCCUGAUCCGCGGGUUGAGCUCCCAGGUAAUGGAGGCAACCUUUAUGAGAUGUUUUAUGCGGAUGCUUGAACCCGUGAGUGGAAGAGUAGUAUGGUAGUAGUUGUACUUCCACGGUCCUGUGUGUCUUGUGGAGUAUGCCUAUCUAGUGAGAUGAGUUCCGGAGGCAUAGAUAAAUAAUGUAUAGGAAGAUUUGAAAGCCUCUGAUCAGUAGUAUCAUCUUUUCAGUAGUUUGCUCUUCGGUUUGAGGUUGUACUGAACUAUGUAAUGUUGUGUAUGAACCAUGGUGUAUAUGUAGCAGUUGCUUGUUACCAUGUUGUUCGGAUAUUCAUUUCCGCAUUCCAUGUGUUCAGUGCAUUCUUAAUCCAUAGUUAGCAUUGAUGUUGAAAUUAGUAUAAGCUGUGAGUUUGUUUGCUAGGAUGGUGUUUACCAGGCUGAACCAUGCCCCUAACCAUGAGCAGGGAGAAGGUAGUCCGGCAGCACACGAGGAACUGCCUCAUCCGCCUUCUCUGGCGGAAGUUAUGCUUGAGGCGGAAAGAAACAAGCGAGAGACCAACUGUCUGCUAGAACGUAUUGAGCCAAAUACAGCUCGUCAGCCGCGAAAUGAUGCAGUGUCCCUCAAUGACUUUGUUAAGCUGAAUCCCCCGAAGUUCCAUCACUCCAUCGAUCCUCUCGACGCUGAUGACUGGUUGUGCAGUAUAUCGCGCAAGAUACGCUCUGCCAAUGUUUCUGAGGCUGGCAAGGUGACCUUUGCUGCGUAUUUCCUGGAAGGCCCCGCCAAUCUAUGGUGGGAGAAUUUUGAAGCUAUGCGUCCUGCCGGACCAGCAGCCACAUGGGAAGUCUGUUGGGCAAGGCAAGUCGGGCAAAACUUAUUAUGUGAACCCAACUCCUGCGCACGGCCGCGUGAAUUAUGUUUGAGUAGAAGAAGUUGUAGAGGGUCAUGACGUCAUAUUGGGUAUGCUCCUUGUCAAUCAUCACUCAUCGUCUGUUCUUUUUGACACUGGGUCAUCUCAUUCCUUCAUUUCCGAAAGUUAUGCGCAGUUGCAUAACAUGUCCUUUUGUGAUAUGCCAAUCCCAUUAGUUGUCCAAACCCCUGGUAGUAAAUGGCAAACUUCUAGGAUAAGUUAUGGCAAUGAAAUCCUAGUAGACAGGCUAGUUUUUCUAGCAUCAUUGAUAGCCUGAAAUCCUCACGUAUCAAUAUCAUCUUGGGUAUGGACUCGAUGUCAGCUCAUUAUGCCAAAAUUGAUACCCAUUCUAGAAAUGUUCAGCUUACCCAUCCCUCGGGUGAGAUAGUUAAUGUCUCAACUCGAGUUGCCAAAUGCCAACUCUAUUCCCUCAAUGCCAAUCCUCUUCCAGAACUUGAAGACAUUCCGGUAGUCCGUGACUUUCCGGAUGUUUUUCCAGAAGAACUGCCAGGAAUUCCACCUGACAGGGAUGUAGAGUUUGUGAUAGAUCUUGUUCCAGGAACUAUCCCAAUAGCCAGAAGACCUUAUAAGAUGGCACCCUUGGAGCUAGCCAAACUUAAGAAACAACUAGAUGAGGCCUUGAAUAAAGGUUUCAUUCGUCCUAGCUCUUCUCCUUGGGCUUGUCCCGUCCUCUUCGUCAAGAAGAAAUAUGGAAUGGAUCGGAUGGUUGUAGAUUAUCGACCAGUUAACCUGGUCACCAUAAAGAACAAGUAUCCGCUCCCCAGGAUCAACGAUCUGUAUGACCAGCUCGCUGGAUCUUCAGUCUUCUCCAAAAUGGAUUUGAUGUUGGGUUACCAUCAAAUCAAGAUAAAGAAUGGCGACAUUCCAAAAACGGCUUUUGUCACUCGUUAUGGCCAAUACGAGUACACCGUCAUGUCCUUCGGUUUAACCAAUGCCCCAGCCACCUUAUCUCGCUUGAUGAAUUCAAUCUUCAUGGAGUAUUUGGAUAAAUUCGUCGUGGUAUACCUUGAUGAUAUUCUCAUCUACUCGAAGAACGAACAAGAACAUGCCGAGCAUCUAAGGCUGGUAUUGAUGAAACUUCGAGAGCAUCGCCUUUAUGCCAAGUUUUCAAAAUGUGAAUUUUGGUUACCAGAAGUGACCUAUUUAGGCCACGUAAUCUCUAGUAAGGGUAUUGUUGUCAAACCCGAGAGAGCUCAAGCUAUCCUUGAUUGGACUCAACCUGAAUCGGUUAAGAAAGUUAGGAGUUUUCUUGGUUUAGCGAGCUAUUGUCGCCGCUGUGUCGAUAACUUCUCCAAGGUUGCAAAGCCUCUAACUGAACUCCUCAAGAAAACUAAAAAGUUCGAGUGGACACCACACUGUGAGCAUAGUUUUGAGGAACUGAAAAGACGCCUGACUUCCGCACCUGUGUUGCUACCACCAGAUUUCUCUAAGGACUUUGUUAUCUAUUGCGACGCCUCGCGACAAGGAUUAGGUUGCAUUCUCAUGCAGGAUCGUCAUGUGAUUGCAUACGCAUCUCGACAGUUGCGUCCACAUGAGGAUAAUUAUCCCACACAUGAUCUUGAGCUUGCAGUUGUAGUCCAUGCACUUAAAACCUGGCGACAUUACCUUCUUGGUAAUCGUUGCAAAAUAUUCACCGAUCACUAAAGUCUGAAAUAUAUCUUCACCCAGCCGGAUUUGAAUCUCAGGCAAAGACGGUGGGUCGAGUUGAUCUCAGAUUACGACUUAGGGAUAACUUACACCCCGGGGAAGGCCAAUGUUAUGGCUGAUGCACUAAGUCAUAAGUCUUAUUGUAACAAUCUGAUGCACAACGAGGUCAACCACGUCUCUAUGAGGAAUUUCGGAAGUUAAACCUCCACAUUGUUCCUCAAGGAUUCCUUUCUAACCUGGUGGCGAAACCUACUCUUGUGGAUCAAAUCAUAGCUGUGCAGACAUAUGAUAAGGGUAUAUCCCGGAUCAAGGAGAAUAUUGCUAGCGGAAACGCUAGGGAUUUCUCUAUUAAUGAGCAAGGUAUCGUGUUCUUUCAGAACCGUUUAGUGGUUCCUAAGAGCAAACGUCUUCGGCAGUUGAUCCUUAAGGAGGCUCAUGAUUCUCCUCUCACCAUUCAUCCAGGUAGUACUAAGAUGUAUCAGGACCUACGCCAAAGAUUUUGGUGGACUAGGAUGAAGAUAGAAAUUGUUGAGUUCGUUGCUAACUGCGACGUUUGUCGUCGAGUUAAAACGGAACAUCAAAGGCCUACUGGCACCCUUCAACCUUUAGCUAUUCCUGAAUGGAAAUGGGAUAAAGUUAGUAUGGAUUUCAUCACUGGAUUUCCCAAGACCAAGAAAGGAAAUAAUGCUAUCUUUGUGGUCAUUGACCGUCUUUCCAAAGUAGCUCAUUUUCUUCCAGUUCGUGAGAGUAUAACAGCUAGCGAGCUAGCGGAGUUAUAUAUCUCUUGAAUAGUGUCUCUUCAUGGUGUCCCUGUGGAGAUUAACUCAGAUCGUGGAAGUAUUUUUACUUCCCGUUUCUGGGAAAGUUUUCAGAAUGCCAUGGGGAAAGUUUUCAGAAUGCCAUGGGGACUCAAGUAGAAAGAGUGAACCAAAUCCUAGAGGAUAUGCUCCGAGCUUGUGUUAUAUCGUUCGGUAUGAAUUGGGAGAAGUGCCUUCCAUUCGCCGAAUUUGCUUAUAACAAUAGUUAUCAAUCAAUAUUGGACAAAGGCCCUUUUGAAGUUCUCUAUGGACGAAGAUGUUGAACACCUCUUAAUUGGUCAGAAACUGGAGAGAGGCAACUCUUUGGUCCGGAUAUGAUCCAGGAAGCAGAAGAGCAAGUUCGCAUUAUUCCUGAAAAGUUGAAAACAGUCCAAUCUCGUCAAAAGAGCCAAUAUGAUCGUCAUCAUAAGGUUGUGACCUUUGAAGUUGACGAGAAGGCUUAUCUUCGGGUUACACCUUUGAAGGGUACCCAUCGCUUCGGUAUCAAAGGCAAAUUGGCUCCUCGUUACAUUGGUCCUUUUCGCAUUGUUGACAAACGAGGAGAAGUUGCCUACCAGUUGGAACUUCCUCCGCAUCUUUCCAAGGUUCAUGACGUUUUCCACGUCUCGCAACUCAGGCGUUGCUUUUCGUAUCCUAUCCGUGAAGGGGACCACGAAACGCUUUAUCUCCAAUAUAACCUUUCAUACCGAGAAUACCCUGUUCGUAUUCUUGAUAAGCUGAGUGUACCACUCGACGUCGAAACCUCAAGUUUCUUAAAGUUCAACGGUCAGAUCAUUCUGAAAAAGAGGCAACAUGGUAAAGAGAGGACCGUCUUCGACUUGAGUAUCCUGCACUAUUCCCGACGACUUCCAAAUCUUGGGACGAGAUUAUUUUAAGUGGGGGUGAGUUGUCACAUCCCUAGCUACCCUUUGAAGUCUAGCAAGAUUGUGCUCAUGUUUAAUAUUGCAUUUAAAAGUGAAAAUGGAAAUCAAAGAGAAAAACCCUAGCAACUACAUAUUCAAAGUAAUUCAACUUGUGACAAAUCAGUGAACUCAAAAUGGCCUUCAUAAAAGUCCAUCAUUUUUGAUAAAUAUUGGAAACAACAAUCCAGGGGUGGAUUUCUUUUUAAAAAUAGUUUUGGCAUUUUAUUCAAAAUACAAAAUCCACUGAAAUCAACUAUAUAUUUGAUUUCAAAUAUUUCAGAGUUUCAUAAAAUAUUGAAUCUUUUAUAUGGGGUUGGAAAUAUUCCAAAUAACACCCCAGAGUUUAUUCACUAUUUUAGAAAUAGUUUGGAGCCAAAAAUAAAAUCAAACAAAUGUCAGAAAGUUUAAAACAGAAAACAGAAAAUAAAAGAAAUGGAAAAGAGUUACCUGUCGCUCACCUAGCCCAAGCCCAUCCCCUCGUUGUCGUCUUCCUCUUGCCAGUCGGUAGCAGGAGGUGGCCGCCGCCGCCUCCAGCGAGGCCACACACUUGCGUGCCUGCCUGGAUCCUCCAACGCGUUGGCAAGGAGGAUAACCCUCCCCGCAACCCAUUCCAGCUCUCUCCCCCUCCUCACUCGCCCCUCUGCGCCUCUCUCUCUCGGCCACCAUUGGAGCCGAGCUCGAGCUCGUCGUCGUUCCUGGCCACCCCAAGCCCCCCUGAGCACGCCGUUUUCUCCGCCUCAUCGAGCACUUCGUCCCUGCCAAUGGAAAAGAGCCCCCGAGCCCUGCAUCGUGAGAUCAUCGUCGUCUUCUUCCUUGGGUCGCCGUUGAUCACCGUCGUCGUUCUCCUUUUCUAGGUCGUUCCCGAGCACGCUCUCGAUGCCUCUGCAAUCCCUGUGAGCUCAGGAUGGUUUCCCCCUCGUUCCCCCCCCCCACCAUCGAUCCCGUGCCCUAGCGCCCGAUUCCACCGGAGCCCGACGACAUCCGCCGUGGGAGCUCGUCGUCGGUGAUGGUACGAUGAUGGGUUGGUCCAUCUGAGGCCACCAUCAGCUUCGGUGCAUCGUGUAGAUGUCGUAGGAGCCAAGCCCCGUCCCUUUUGCCCUCUGGAUCGAUGACUUCGAUGCUGCCCGAGCUCCGGCAGCCGCCGAGCUCGUCGCCGGCGUCAGCUCCGACCACUUCAGCCCCUGAGCAUAGCAAAAAUGGAUGCGCCAUCGAGUGGUCGCUCUCCUAGUGCCCUCCGCCAUCCUUUUGGUUGCCGGAGGAGCAAUCCCGAAGCCAUAAACCAUCCCUGGAGUCAUCGGAGGCUCGCCGCCGGUGGGUUUGAGCCCAUCGCCGAUGGGUUUGACCCCCGUGGGUCUAUGACAGAUGGGGCGAGCCCCUCGCUAAUUAAAGUUUAAACUAAUAAAAAUAAUUAGUUGAUUAAAUUACUAAACAGUCACUCACAUGUGGGCCAACCCGUGUUAAAUAACUAAUUAACUUAAAGUUUAAUUAAAAUCUGGCCAGAGUCACUGACCUGUGGGUCCCACUGGUCAGGUUUGACUUUCAACGGCCACUUGGACGUGCUGAUGUCAUGUUGAUGCAGUAACUCUAUUUCAGAUUUAAUAUAAUUCCAGAAAAUGCUAAAACUUUGGAAAUUCAUAGAAAAUUAAAUAUAACUCCAAAUUUGACAAAUAUUAUAUGCAAAUUGAUCAGAAAAUUCAGUGAACACAAUGAUGCUACUUUCAUGCAUGACAAACAAAGUUAUGAAACAACAUCAGGUCAAAUCAAUUAAAUGAAUAUGAUAAAUAUGCUAUUUCAACUAAUAUUUGAAUUUGAAUUCAAAUCAGCAUCAUCCCAAAGGUUUGAUAGCCACACUAGCUCAUGCUACAUUUCAUUUCAUGCCAUGAUCAUGCAUCAUAUUGUUGCAUAUGAAUGUUAUUGAUUGUCGCUAUUGUUUCGGUAGGCUCUGCCCUUCCGGAUACGUCCAAAUAUCCGACUGACGGAUUUAAUCCCUGUGCUGAGCAACAAGGCAAGCACCCUUUUGAUCAUCCCGAUAUAAUCCCAUGUUCUUGCUCCUACUCCCACUUCUUGCAUUAGGACAAAAUAUUUCAAAUGCUUUACUUCCGUAGCUGAACCUAUUCCUUUGCAUCACCUAUCAUUGUCACAGUAAAUAGCCAAACCUUGCAACCUAGCAUACCUGGUAGUUGUGUGAGCCAUGAUGUGCUAUUUCCUGCAAUGCUUGCUAUGCCUAGAGUUGUGUCACGUAUGUUUCAUCUGGGUGAUGAACAGGAAUGGAUGAAUGUGUCCUAGUGACAAAGUAUAAGUGUGGAACCUGAUUUGGUAAAGGUACCGAUGAAAGGCUAUGUAGGAGUACAUGGCGGGUUGUUUCAUUGGAACCGUCCUUAGGAACUGAGUUCCGUGUAUGUAAUCCAAGACUAGAUACUACCACACGUUGGGAUACUUAAUUGACCCUCUCGGCUUAUUAAUCGCCUAGUACUCGGUCCAUGAGUUGCAAGUAGUUUCUGGUGUUUAUAGUCAUGCUGGAGGUCGUGCAUAGUGCUGACCUUAGAGGUGGGCUAUGAUGCGGUAGGCAGUGGCACGGUGUACCUAGUGGCACCCGGAUGGUGGGCUUGGGAACCCUGCGCACAUCGUUUGGGGCCGUGACGGGAACCUCGGCUGGACUUCCGUGCGGGUUACACUCAAAUAGGCGAUAGACCUAGACUAGGUAUUAGUGUGGUUAACGGUCGUGGCCGACUCCCUCGCUGGGCUUCCGCUUGAAGGUUGUCGAGGUGCAUGAUGUGCACAUGGCGAUAAGUGGCGAGAGCAUGUGUGAAGAAGUACACCCCUGCAGGGUUAUGAUCUAUUCGAAUAGCCGCGUCCGCGAAUAUGGACUACUUGGAGACAUAUGUUGUUCAUAGACAAUUUUAAUGGAUGCUCAUAAAAGUAUCAAGAUAAGCGUGAGUAUCAUGUAUGGCAUUUCCGUAGGGAGACGGAAAGGAGUUCAUGAUAGUGUAUUGUUGUGGUGGUAGUGGACUCGUGUACGACUUAUCAAAGUUGUUUAAAACUAUUUAAAAUUGUAGUUUAGUCUAGCCAAGAGUCAAAGCUGGCUUGCUGCAUGAAACACCACAACCCCCUUUGCUGAUACAUGUGCAUGAGUAGAUAGAUAUGUUCUAAAGUCUUACUGAGUACUCUUGUACUCAUGUUUGCUAAUAAUUGUUGCAGAGGAUACCCACGAGCCAACAGGUGGGUUCUUUCUAGACAUCGAUGAUGACGAGUAGCUGGUGUCCCAGCUACGACCUGGCCCUUUUAGAAGGAAUCUAUAGAUAGUCAGGCUUUAUGCCUUUUCCUUUCAACUGUCUGUACUCACACAACUUUUAUGCUUCCGCUUGGUUUGUAUAACUCUGCUUGUAUGACUUGAGUGUCGGGUCGUGUGACCCCUGCCUGUAUGAACAUAUUAUGCAAGACUCUUCCGAGUCUUCUAAAUAAGUGUCGUGUUGUUGUAUGGUUAUGUUGUGAUGCCAUUGUUGUAUCUAUGCAUAUCAAGUAUGUGAUAACCCAUGAUGUUUGUUGUGUACCCCUGGCAAUUGUGCCCGAAAUACUCCUACUACGGCACGUUGGUAUUCCCUCGAAGCGGAAAGGGUGAUGUAGCACAGCGACGUUAAGUAUUUCCCUCAGUUUGAGAACCAAGGUAUCAAUCCGGCGGAAGAGUAUCUCACCAACCUGCACAAACACAAAAGCUUGCACCCAACGCUAUGAAGGGGUCGUUAAUCCCUUACACAUUGUUUGCCAAGUGAGAACUGAAAGUAACAAAGUAACAAAACAAAGUAAAAGCGGAGUUGUAAAAGAUGGAUGUGAAUAGACCCGGGGGGCGUAGUGUUUACUAGUGGCUUCUCUCAUGAAAGCAAGUAGACGGUGGGUGAACACAUUACUGCCGAGCAAUUGAUAGGACUGUGUAGAGUCGUGACGAUAUCUAUGCAAUGAUUAUUUCUAUAGGCAUCACAUCCGAAACAAGUAGACCAAUACUUUCUGCAUCUACUACUAUUACUCCACACAUCGACCGCUAUCCAGCAUGCAUCUAGUGUAUUAAGUCCAUAAGAAUAGAGUAACGCCUUAAGCAAGAUGACAUGAUGUAGAGGGAUAAUCUCAAACCAAUGAUAAAACCCCCCAUCUUUUUACCCUUGAUGGCAACUGCUUGAUGUGUGCCUUGCUGCCCAUUCUGUCACUCGGAAAGGUCACCACAUGGCAGAACCCAAAACCAAGCACUUCUCCCAUUGCAAGAAUCAUAGAUCUAGUUGGCCAAACAAAACCCAAGACUCGGAGAGACUUACAAGGAUAUCAAAUCAUGCAUAUAAGAAAUCAGCAAAGACUCAAAUAUAUAUCAUAGAUAACCUGAUCACAAGUCCACAAUUCAUCGGAUCUCAACAAACACACCGCCAAAGAAGAUUACAUCGGAUAGAUCUCCAUGAAGAUCAUAGAGAACUUUGUAUUGAAGAUCCAAGAGAGAGAAGAAGCCAUCUAGCUACUAACUACGGACACAUAGGUCUGAAGUGAACUACUCACGAGUCAUUGGAGGGGCGAUGAUGAUGAUGAAGAAGCCCUCCACCUCCAAAGUCCCCUCCGGCAGGGCACCGGGAAGGGUCUCCAGAUGAGAUCUCGCGGAAACAGAAGCUUGCGGCGGUGGAAAAGUAUUUUCGAGGCUCCCCUAAUUUUUUGCAGAAUAUUUGGGAAUAUAUAGGCACAAAACCUAGAUCAGGAGGCGGCCAGGGAAGCCACAAGCUUGCCCACCGCCGCCUCCCCCCUGGUGGCGGAGUGGGCCCUUGUGGGCUCCCUGGGGCCCACCUGGCCUGGCCCAAAGUCUCCCUGGACUUCUUUCGUUCGGAAAAAAAUCAUUUCAGGGUUUUUCUUCCGUUUGGACUCCGUUCCAAAAUCAGAUCUGAAAAGAGUCAAAAACACGGAAAAACAGGAACUGGCACCUGGCACUGAAUCAAUAAGUUAGUCCCCAAAAAGAUAUAAAAAGGUACAUAAAACAUACACAAAAGACAAGAUAACAGCGUGAAACCAUCAAAAGUUAUAGAUACGUUUGAGACGUAUCAAGCAUCCCAAGCUUAACUCCUGCUCGUCCUCGAGUAGGGAAGUGAUAAGAAUGAAUUUUUGAUGUUUUCAUGCUACCUAGCAUAGGUGUCCUUUGUAAUUCCUCUUAUGUGACGUGAAUGUUCAGAUCCAUUAGAUUCAAAACAAUAGUUUGCUAUUGACGUGGAAACAAUAAUAAUUCAAGCAACCUAGCAAAGUAAUCAUGAACUUUCAAAAUAGCAAGGCCAAAAGAACGUUAUCCCUACAAAAUCAUAUAGUCUGGCUAUGCUCUAUCAUCAUUGCACAACGAAUUUAAAUCAUGCACAACCCCGGUAUUGGCCAAGUAAUUGUUUCACACCUUUACUUUCUCAAACAUUUUUAACUCUCACGCAAUACAUGAGCGUGAGUCAUGGUUAUAGCACUAUAUAUGGUGUGGAUUAUGGUGUAGGUUGCAAGACAAAAAGGAGAAGAUAGUCACAUUAACUAGGCAUAUCAAUGAGUUGUGGAGAUGCUCAUCAAUAGAUAUCAAUGUGAGUGAGUAGGGACUGCCAUACAAAUGAUGCACUAGAGCUACAAGUAAGUGAAAGCUCUUAAAGAAAACUAGUGGGUGUGCAUCCAACUUGCUUACUCACGAAGACCUAAGGCAAUUUUUGAGGAAGCCUAUCAUUGGAAUAUACAAGCCAAGUUAUAUAAUGAGAAUUUCCCACUAGCUAUAUGGUGGUGACAAAACGAGAGACUCUCAAUCAUGAAGAUCAUGGUGCUCAAAAUGCACAAGUGUGGAAAAAGUGGUAGCAUUGUCCCUUCUCUCUUUUUCUCUCUUUUUUUAUUUUGGUAGGCUCUUUGGCCUCUUUUUUAUGGGCUUCUUUGGCCUCUUUUAUUUCCUCACAUGGGACAAUGCUCCAAUAAUGAUGAUCAUCACACUUUCAACUCAAAAUUUCGAGCAAUUAUAACUCUAUAUGGAAUGCCUUUGGUAGUGUACCGUGGCAACGAUCUAGCAUGGCAUAGUCAUCAAUGGAAACAUCAUGCUAGCUAUCUUACGAUCAUGCAAAGGCAAGUAGACAUGGUGGCACAUGUCAUGGUGGUAGUUGCAUGGCAAUAUAUCUCGGAAUGACUUUGAAAAAGCCAUAGUAGGUAGGUAUGGUGGCUGUUUUGAGGGAGGCUAAUGGUGGGUUUUGUGCACCGGCGAAAGUUGCACGGCACUAAGAAGAUAGUGAUGGUGGAAGGCGAAAGUGCAUCUGAACCAAUGGACUCAACAUUAGUCAUGAAGAACUCAUAUACUUGUUGCAAAAGUUUUAUUAGUAAUCGAAACAAAGCAUUCAACGCAUACUCCUAUGGGAAGGGUUUGUAGGUAUAAACCAUCGCGCGAUCCCGACCGCCACGCAAAGGAUGACAAUCAAUAUACUAAUCAUGCUCAGAUUUCAUCACAUAGCGGUUCACCAUACGUGCAUGCUACGGGAAUCACUAACUUCAACACAAGUAUUUCUAGAUCCACAACACCUUACUAGCAUGACUUCAAUAUUACCAUAACCACAACUCAAAACUAAUUGAGAUGAAUCAAACUUCUCUAACUAUUAAAUGCACAUGAAGGAGGAAGUUUUCAUAUCCUUUUGGAUAACUACCCCUUUUGAGACUACUUUCAAAGCAUAGAUCAACUACCAAGCCACGCACCGCUGCGCUCUAAAAGAUAUAACUGAAGCACAUAGAGCAAAAGUAUCUAGCUCAAAAGAUAUAAGUGAAGCACAUGUGAGCUGAAUUGUCUACCAAAAGAUAUAAGUGAAGCUCGACAAAAUCAUGGUGUGUGCAUGUCUCUCUCUCUAGGUGUGCAACAAGGAUGAUUGUGACACAACAAAAAUAAAAUACUCCUACGAUACAAGACGCUCCAAGAAAAAACACAUAACAUGUGGUGAAUAAAAAUAUAGCCCCAAGUAACGUUACCGAUGGAUUGAAGACGAGAGAGGGGAUGCCUUCCCGGGGCAUCCCCAAGCUUAGGCUUUUACGACAUUCUUGAAUCUCUUGGGGUACCUUGGGCAUCCCCAAGCUUGAUCUCUUGCCACUCUUUAUCUCUUUGUCCAUAAGAACUUCACCCAAAACUUGAAAACUUCACAACACGAAACUUAAACAGAAACUCGUGAUAACAUUAGUACAAGAAAGCAAACCACCACUUCCUUAGGUACUGUAGCAAACUUAAAUUCUACUUGUGCUGAUGUUGGGUUACUGUACUUUCAAUCUUCCAUGGCUAAUACCCCCCGAUACGAUCCAGAGUUUCAUCAAAGUAAGCAACCAACACAACAAAAACAGAAUCUGUUAACAGCAACCAGUCUGUGGCAAUCUGUAUGUUUUGUAUACCUCUGGUACUUAAAAAAUUCUGAAAAAGUACGACAGUCUCAAGAAUUUUCGUAGAAAUCGGCAGCAAAAAGAAUUGAAGCACAACGAGAGCAUCCUAAAGCAUGUGAAAAUCACAUCUAAGUCUAACAUACUUCCUAUGCAUAGGCAUUUUAUAGGAAAACAGAUUGUCAAGACAACCAAUAGUUUCCAUAUGCGAGGAAGAAGAAAGAGACAAUAGCAAUCUCAACAUAACGAGAGGUAAUUUGGUAACAUGAAAGUUUCAACCAAAAUAUUUUUCUCUCUCAUAGCAAUUACAUGUGGGAUCAUAUUCAAAUUCAACAAUAUAGCUAUCCCAUGGAUAUUCUUUUCAUGAUCCACAUGCAUGCAAAGUUGACGCUCUUCAAAAAUAGUGGGAUUAUCAUCAAAUAAAGUCAUGACUUCUCCAAUCCCACUUUCAGUAUUGUUGCAAAUAUCAUAUUCAUCAUGAGGUUUGAACAAAUUCUCAAGAUCAUAAGAAAGAUCAUCAACCCAAUCAUGAUUAUUACAACAACUAGGGGACAUAGCAAGACUAGCAUCCCCAAGCUUAGGGAUUUGCAUAAUUUUAAUAGGAUUUAUAGUGAAAUCAUUGCAAUCAUGCUUUUCAUCCAAGGAGCCCUCGUGAAUCACUUCAUGAAUUUCUUCCUCACAAUUUUCAGAUUCACGCAUCUUACGCAAAACUCCAAAGAAAUAGGCAAUUUCCCUCAACAUAGCAAUUUGUUCCACACGAGUGGGUCUCUUAAAGAGACUAGCAAGUGGGUGAGGAUCCAUAUCACUAGAUUUUCAGCAAGCGAAGAUGCAAGCAUAUUGAGGGCACAUGGCACACAAGCGAAUAGAAAGUAAGCGAGAGAAAAGGGCGAAUGAAAAAGGCAAAGGAGAAAGGCAAAUGAAAACGACAAAAGUGAAGUGGGGGAGAGGAAAACAAGAGGCAACUCGCAACAAAAGUAAAUGCAAGAGAAGAGUUUGUGAGACCUACUUGGAUAGAUCUUGAUUUCUCCUCCCCGGCAACGGCGCCAGAAAUAGGUGUGUUGUCGGGAGAAUAUUCUUCACGAUCCUCCUCGGCAACCGAUCCUCUUCCCCAGCAACGGCGCUUGAAAUAGGCGUGUUGUUGGGACAAUAUUCUUCACGAUCCUCCUCGGCAAGCGAUCCUCUUCCCCGGCAACGGCGCUAGAAAUACUUCUGAAGUUUGCUGUGUACCCCUGGCAAUUGUGCCAGAAAUACUCCUACUACGGCACGUUGGUAUUCCCUUGAAGCGGAAAGCGUGAUGUAGCACAGAGACGGUAAGUAUUUCCCUCAGUUUGAGAACCAAGGUAUCAAUCCGGCGGAAGAGUAUCUCACCAACCUGCACAAACACAAAAACUUGCACCCAACGCUAUGAAGGGGUUGUCAAUCCCUUAUAGAUUGUUUGCCAAGUGAGAACUGAAAGUAACAAAGUAACAAAGCAAAGUAAAAGCGGAGUUGUAAACGAUGGAUGUGAAUAGACCUGGGGGUUGUAGUGUUUACUAGUGGCUUCUCUCAUGAAAGCAAGUAGAUGGUGGGUGAACAAAUUACUGCCGAGCAAUUGAUAGAACUGUGCAGAGUCGUGACGAUAUCUAUGCAAUGAUUAUUUCUAUAGGCAUCACGUCUGAAACAAGUAGACCAAUACUUUCUGCAUCUACUAUUAUUACUCCACACAUCGACCGCUAUCCAGCAUGCAUCUAGUGGUAUUAAGUCCAUAAGAAUAGAGUAAUGCCUUAAGCAAGAUGACAUGAUGUAGAGGGAUAAUCUCAAACCAAUGAUAAAAACCCCAUAUUUUUACCCUUGAUGGCAACUGCUUGAUGUGUGCCUUGUUGCCCCUUCUGUCACUGGGAAAGGUCACCACAUGGCAGAACCCAAAACCAAGCACUUCUCCCAUUGCAAGAAUCAUAGAUCUAGUUGGCCAAACAAAACCCAAGACUCGGAGAGACUUACAAGGAUAUCAAAUCAUGCAUAUAAGAAAUCAGCAAAGACUCAAAUAUAUAUAUCAUAGAUAAUCUGAUCACAAGUCCACAAUUCAUCGGAUCUCGACAAACACAUCGCCAAAGAAGAUUACAUCGGAUAGAUCUCCAUGAAGAUCAUAGAGAACUUUGUAUUGAAGAUCCAAGAGAGAGAAGAAGCCAUCUAGCAACUAACUACGGACCCGUAGGUCUGAAGUGAACUACUCACGGGUCAUUGGAGGGGCGAUGAUGAUGAUGAAGAAGCCCUCCACCUCCAAAGUCCCCUCCGGCAGGGCGCCGAGAAGGGUCUCCAGAUGAGAUCUCGCGGAAACGGAAUCUUGCGACGGCGGAAAAGUAUUUUCGAGGUUCCCCUGAUUUUUUGCGGAAUAUUUCGGAAUAUAUAGGCGCAAAACCUAGGUCAGGAGGCGGCCAGGGAAGCCACAAGCUUGCCCACCGCCGCCUCCCCCCUGGUGGUGGAGUGGGCCCUUGUGGGAUCCCUGGGGCCCACCUGGCCUGGCCCAAAGUCUCCCGGGACUUCUUCCGUUCGGGAAAAAUCAUUUCGGGGUUUUUCUUCCGUUUGGACUCCAUUCCAAAAUCAGAUCUGAAAAGAGUCAAAAACACGGAAAAACAGGAACUCACACUUGGCACUGAAUCAAUAAGUUAGUCCCCAAAAAGAUAUAAAAAGCUACAUAAAACAUACAAAGAAGACAAGAUAACAGCGUGAAAUCAUAAAAAAUUAUAGAUACGUUUGAGACGUAUCUACCCACAAGUAUAGGGAAUCGCAACAGUUUUCGAGGGUAGAGUAUUCAACCCAAAUUUAUUGAUUCGACUCAAGGGGAAGCCAAAGAAUAUUCUCAAGUAUUAGCAGCUGAGUUGUCAAUUCAACCACACCUGAAAGAUUUAGUAUCUGCAGCAAAGUAUCAGUAGCAAAGUAGGGUGAUAGCAGCAGUAGCAACAGUCACCAGUAGCAGCAGUGACAGCAGUAGCAACAGAGUAACACUAGUAGCAGUGACAACAGUAGUGGUAAAAUAAUGUAGCAAGGACCAGUAGUAAGAGACUCGUAGGCAUUGGAUCGGUGAUGGAUGAUUAUGCUGGAUGUUAUUCAUCAUGCAACAGUUAUAACACAAGGAGAUAUGUAACUAGCUCCAGUUCGUCAAUGUAAUGUUGGCAUGUAUUCCGUAUGUAGUCAUACGUGCUUUGGGAAAAGAACUUGUGUGACAUCUAUUGUCCAUCCCUCCCGUGGCAGUGGGGUCCUAAUGGAAACUACGGGAUAUUAAGGUUCUCCUUUUAAUAAAGAACCGGACCAACGCAUUAACACUUGGUGAAUACAUGAACUCCUCAUACUAUGGUCAUCUCCGGGAGUGGUUCUGGCUAUUGUCACUCCGGGGUUGCCGGGUCAUAACACAUAGUAGGUGACUACAACUUGCAAGAUAGGAUCAAGAACACACAUAUAUUGGCGACAACAUAAUAGGUUCAGAUCUGAAAUCAUGGCACUCGGGCCCUAGUGACAAGCAUUAAGCAUGGCUAAGUAGUAGCAACAUCAAUCUCAGAACAUAGUGGAUACUAGGGAUCAAUCCCCGUCAAAACUAACUCGAUUACAUGAUAGAUCUCAUCCAACCCAUCACCGUCCAACAUGCCUACGAUGAGAUUACUCACGAACGGCGAAGAGCAUCAUGGAAUUGGCGAUGAAGGAAGGUUGAUGAUGACGAAGGCAACGAUUUCCCCUCUCCGGAGCCCAAAACGGACUCCAGUCUGCCCUCCACAUGAAGAACGGGGGGUGGCGGCGCCUCCGUAUCGUAAAAUGCGAUGAACUUUUCUCCUUAAUUUAUUUUGGGCAAAACGGACUAAAUAGAGUUGGAUUUGGAGGCGGUGGAGUCUUGUGGGCCCCACAAGCCUGUCAGGCGCGGCUAGGGGGGACGCGCCUGGUGGGCUUGUGGGCUCCACGCUCCACUUCCUUCGCUAAUUCUUGCGCGAGUAUUUUUUUUUAUAUUCCACAAAAAAUCUAUGUAAAUUUUUCAGGUCAUUCCGAGAACUUUUAUUUCUGCGCAAAAACAACACCAUGGCAAUUCUGCUGAAAACAGUGUUAGUCCGGGUUAGUUCCAUUCAAAUCAUGCAAAUUAGAGUCCAAAACAAGGGCAAAAGAGUUCGGAAAAGUAGAUACGGCGGAUACGUAUCAACUCCCCCAAGCUUAAAGCCUUGCUUGUCCUCAAGCAAUUCAGUUGACAAACUGAAAGAGACAAAAGAAAAACUUUUACGAACUCUGUUUGAUCUUGUUGUUGCAACUAUGUCUGACUCAUAACUAGAAUUUUAGCAAGAUCACAAGCUAACCACAUAAGCAAAUGACAUCUUGGUCUCACGGUAAACUCAUAUCAAUGGCAUAAUCAACUAGCGAGCAAAUAAUAAUAAAUCUCAAACGUCAACACUUCAAUCAAAACAAUCAUGAAGCAGUACGAACAGAUGGUAUCUCGCUAGCUCUUUCUGAGACCGCAAAACAUAAAUGCAGAGCAUCUUCAAAGACCAAGGGCUGACUAAACAUUGUAAUUCAUGGCAAAGAAGAUCCAGUCACAGUCAUACUCAUCACAGUUAAAAGCAAAGCAUAAAAAUGACAGAGGUUCUCUCUAAUUGGUUCUUUUAUAAGAAGAGGAUGACUCAACAGGAACAUAAAUAGACAGGCCCUUCGCAGAGGGAAGCAUUGAUUUGUAGAGGUGCGACAGCUCAAGCUUUGAAAACAGAGAUAAUAAUUUUGGGUGGCGUGCUUUCAUUAUCAACGCAAUGACAAAGAGUUCUCACCAUCUUCCACGCUACACAUCCUAUAGGCGGUUCUCAAACACAAAAGUAAAGUUUUGACUCCCCCACCACCAAUCAAUCACACUCCACGACUAGCUGAAUACUCGGGUGUCGUCCAUAUCAACAUCAAUCCUGGGGGGGUUUUGUUUGCAAUUAUCUUUUUGAUUUGAGCAUGGAACUGGGAAUUCCAAUUACCGGCCCCUUUCUCGUGAAUGAUAGUGAAUAAACACAUAUCGAGGAUAACACUCCUAGCAUGGAAGAUACUGACAGCCCCCUGUCACCACAUGAGCGGUUCGGGCAUGCAAAACAGAUUAUUUCUUGAAGAUUUAGAGAGUGGCACAUGCAAAUUUACUUGGAACGGCAGGUAGAUACCGCAUAUAGGUAGGUAUGGUCGACUCAUAUGGAACAACUUUGGGUUUAUGGAUGUGGAUGCACAAGCAGUAUUCCCUCUUAGUACAAGUGAAGACUAGCAAAAGACUGGGAAGCGACCAACUAGAGAGCGACAACAGACAUCAAAAUGCAUUGAGAUUAACCAACAUUGAGUGCAAGCAUGAGUAGGACAUAAAUCACCAUGAACAUGAAUAUCAUAGAGGUUAUGUUGAUUUUGUUUCAACUACAUGCAUGAACAUGCGCCAAGUCAAGCCACUUGAAACAUUCAAAGGAGGAUACCAUCCUAUCAUACUACAUCAUAGUCAUCUCAAAAUUCAUGUUGGCAUCCAAGACAAACCAUUAUAAGCUCCUAGCUAAUUAAGCAUGGCAUCAGAAACUAUGAUCUCUAAGUUGUCAUUGCAAACAUGUUUCUCUAACAACAAAGCUGAAUCAGGAACGAUGAGCUAGUCAUAUUUACAAAAACAAAAUAGAUCGAGUUCAUACCAGUUUUUCCAGGCUCAGUCACUUCAUCAUAUAUCGUCAUUAUUGCCUUUCACUUGCACGACCGAAUGAUGUGAACAAUAAUAAGAGUGCUCGUGCAUUGGACUAAGCUGGAAUCUGCAGGAAAACACAAAGGAGAAGACAAAGUAAUAUGGCUCUUUGACAGAUAAACAGAUAUGCAUGCGAGAGCCACUAAACAUUGUAACCAUGGUCUUCUACCUUGACCCAAAGAAAAAGAAAACUAUUUACACGGGAAAGCUCCCAACAAGCAAAAGAAGAACAAGAAAAUCUUUUUGGGUUUUCUCAAACUAGAUAAACACACGAAAAGAAAACGAGAAAAAGAAAAUAAACUAGCAUGGAUGAUACAAUGGCAAAGUGUGAACACCGACAAACAAAGUGAAAGCAUAAGCAAGAAUGUAAAGUCGGUGAGAAACACGUACUCCCCCAAGCUUAGGAUUUUGGCCUAAGUUGGUCUACUCCCAAGGAGGGAAAUACCAACUCCGGGGUACUCCAGAGUGGAUUCAGAAUGCCACUGCUGCGUGAGCUCCUCUGGCUCCCACUGAUAAACUAGCGUCUGGUACUCGACUGGUGGCUCGGGCACGGGCACCUGUGGUUGGGCUAUGCCCCAAUAUGCGUAGAUGUUCAAGGGCAUAAUAAUGUACCUGCCUGCAUGAAGAUUGAACAAAGAAGGAGCGGGCAAACUAAUAGUCUCACGAGUACCCUGACUAAAUACCAGGUUAUAAAUCAUCCUUCUAUUUAUAUCUCUAUCAAGAAAGUCAUGGCGAACCAUGCUAUCAUAGUCUAGAUAUCUCUCGGGAAGAAGAAUCUCUUCUUUCUCGUCCAGUCUAAUAGGUAUCUCAAAAUGUCUAGCAAGACGGGUAGCAUAUAUACCUCCAUAGACAACGCCUUUAGAACGGUUCGUGUUCAACCGUUGAGCUACUAUAGCACCCAAGCUAUAAGUUUUGUCGUUAUAAAGGGCUUCGCGCAAGACCGCAAGAUCUGGGGAGCUAAGGGACCCAGCUCUCCCACGGCCAAUCAAACAUUUUACCACAAAUAGUGAGAAGUACCGAAGCAUGGGAACAUGUAUGCUAGCAGCUCUAGCGCAAGACACUCCUCUCUCCUCUCCUACAACAAUAGUAUCGAUGAAAGCUUCCAAGUCCCGUGGACGAGGUUCAUGAAUAUCCCCAACAAAAGGCAAUUUGCAAACAUUGCAAAAAUCCUGGAGUGACAUGUGCUGGGAGAUAUCAUAUAAUUUGAACUCAACCAUAGGAGGAUUCUUCCUUGGAUAGAAGUUAAAGCUUUGCACGAAAAUAUUAGUGAGGAGGAGGUAUUGCGGACACUUGUCUUCGACGAAAGCGGUAAGGACUGCGUUCUCCACCAAGUGAUAAAAGUCCUCAUAAAGUCCGGUGGCGCGUAAGAACACAUCGCUUGGCUAUUCUCACGCUCGAACUUCUGCAACUCGAGGGACCAGAUACUUUGGCUUCUUCUCACUUCUAUCAUCCUUGGGGUCAUGGCUUGAAGAGCCUCUUAAGAACCUCCUCCAAUUUUCCCUUUUCUAUCUCUGAAAAUUUCUGAAAUUUUUAGUGACUCUAAGGAAAACUAAACAAGGCUCAACAAAACUCAUAGCAACUACUCCCACAAGUGCCUAGAGGCCAUAUCACGCAUCAAAACUACUUGGGACCAGCUAAAAUUAGCAUGCAAAGCUCAAGCACAAGGUCACCAAGGCAGCAAAAAUACGCGAAGUAUAAGGCACUAGAGCAAAAACUAAUUGGACCAAUGGAGGAGUCACUUACCAAGGAGUAAUUUCCCCAAAACAGUUCGGAGAAUGGUGCUUUGCACAAGGAGAUCGAAAAUCCUAGCAAGAAGAGCAAGAACACGGGUUUGAGCUGUGAAAAGAUUUUUUUCUGGAGGUAGGAGAAGCAGAUGGGAGCUAGAAUAAGUGGAGGGGUGCACGUGGGCCCCACAAGCCUGGUAGGCGCGGCCAGGGGUGCCCGCGCCUCUAGGGCUUGUGGACCACUGGUGCAACACCCGUGUCCAUACGGUUCCUAGGGGUCUCAGGCUCGAGUAUUUCCUGAUCCGCGGGUUGAGCUCCCAGGUCAUGGAGGCAACCUUUAUGAGAUGUUUUAUGCGGAUGCUUGAACCCGUGAGUGGAAGAGUAGUAUGGUAGUAGUUGUACUUCCACGGUCCUGUGUGUCUUGUGGAGUAUGCCUAUGUAGUGAGAUGAGUUCCGGAGGCAUAGAUAAAUAAUGUAUAGGAAGAUUGGAAAGCCUCUAAUGAGUAGUAUCAUCUUUUCAAUAGUUUUCUCUUCGGUUUGAGGUUGUACUGAACUAUGUAAUGGUGUGUAUGAACCAUGGUGUAUAUGUAGCAGUUGCUUGUUACCAUGUUGUUCGGAUGUUCAUUUCCGCAUUCCAUGUGUUCAGUGCAUUCUUAAUCCAUAGUUAGCAUUAAUGUUGAAAUUAGUAUAAGCUGUGAGUUUGUUUGCCAGGAUGGUGUUUACCAGGCUGAACCAUGCCCCUAACCAUGAGCAGGGAGAAGGUAGUCCGGCAGCACACGAGGAACUGCCUCACCCGCCUUCUCUGGCGGAAGUUAUGCUUGAGGCGGAAAGAAACAAGCGAGAGACCAACCGUCUGCUACAACGUAUUGAGCCAAAUACAGCUCGUCAGCCGCGAAAUGAUGCAGUGUCCCUCAAUGACUUUGUUAAGAUGAAUCCCCCGAAGUUCCAUCACUCCGUCGAUCCUCUCGACGCUGAUGACUGGUUGUGCAGUAUAUCGCGCAAGAUACGCUCUGCCAAUGUUUCUAAGGCUGGCAAGGUGACCUUUGCUGCGUAUUUCCUGGAAGGCCCCGCCAAUCUAUGGUGGGAGAAUUUUGAAGCUAUGCGUCCUGCCGGACCAGCAGCCACAUGGGCAUAUUUCAGUGCAGCCUUCCGUCUGCACCACAUUCCACAGGGUCUAAUGGACCGUAAGAGAGAGGAAUUAUGUGCCUUCACCCAGGGAAAGUUGACCGUGGAUGCUUAUAGCCGCGAGUUCGGUAGUCUCACUCGCUACGCAACUGAAGAUGUGUCAACUGAAGCCAAGAAUCAAGCAAGAUUCUGCAAGGGUCUGUGCCCCAAACUUCGUCGUGACCUGCGCCCUCAUGAAUGCACAAGUUUUCAAGCUCUUGUCAACAAGGUGAUCAGUGCCGAGACUGGACAUACCGACUAUGAAGCCACGAAGAAGCACUCUCGCGAUUCGGGCUCCUCAUCUGGUUCCGCGUUUCCAAAGUGCCGGUUGUGGGUCCCGAAUAGCUCUCUGCCGCCAAGAUAUACCCAGAGGCCAUCCUGUGUGGCGCCUCAGGCCAACCAGACCAACCCUCCAGCAAAGACCUUUGGUGGUCUAGCUAGCAAUGCUGCACCACGUGCCAAUCAGGUGAUCUGUUACAAGUGUGGAGAACCAGGGCACUAUUCACGAGAGUGUCCUCAGAAUAUAUCUGCCAAGCAACCUGGGAAGUCUGUUGGGCAAGGAAAGUCGGGCAAACCUUAUUAUGUGAAGCCAACUCGUGCGUGCGGCCGCGUGAAUUAUGUUUGAGUAGAAGAAGCUGUAGAGGGUCCUGACGUCAUAUUGGGUACGCUCCUUGUCAAUCAUCACCCAUCGUCUGUUCUUUUUGACACUGGGUCAUCUCAUUCCUUCAUUUCCGAAAGUUAUGCGCAGUUGCAUAACAUGUCCUUUUGUGAUAUGCCAAUCCCAUUAGUUGUCCAAACCCCUGGUAGUAAAUGGCAAACUUCUAGGAUAAGUAAUGGCAAUGAAAUCCUAGUAGACAGGCUAGUUUUUCUAGCAUCAUUGAUAGCCCUGAAAUCCUCAGAUAUCAAUAUCAUCUGGGGUAUGGACUCGAUGUCAGCUCAUUAUGCCAAAAUUGAUACCCAUUCUAGAAAUGUUCACCUUACCCAUCCCUCGGGUGAGAUAGUUAAUGUCUCAACUCGAGUUGCCAAAUGCCAACUCUAUUCCCCCAAUGCCAAUCCUCUUCCAGAACUUGAAGACAUUCCGGUAGUCCGUGACUUUCCGGAUGUUUUUCCAGAAGAACUGCCAGGAAUUCCACCUGACAGGGAUGUAGAGUUUGUGAUAGAUCUUGUUCCAGGAACUAUCCCAAUAGCCAGAAGACCUUAUAAGAUGGCACCCUUGGAGCUAGCCGAACUUAAGAAACAACUAGAUGAGGCCUUGAAUAAAGGUUUCAUUCGUCCUAGCUCUUCUCCUUGGGCUUGUCCCGUCCUCUUCGUCAAGAAGAAAUAUGGAAUGGAUCGGAUGGUUGUAGAUUAUCGACCAGUUAACCUGGUCACCAUAAAGAACAAGUAUCCGCUCCCCAGGAUCAACGAUCUAUAUGACCAGCUCGUUGGAUCUUCAGUCUUCUCCAAAAUGUAUUUGAUGUUGGGUUACCAUCAAAUCAAGAUAAAGAACGGGGACAUUCCAAAAACGGCUUUUGUCACUCGUUAUGGCCAAUACGAGUACACCGUCAUGUCCUUCGGUUUAACCAAUGCCCCAGCCACCUUAUCUCGCUUGAUGAAUUCAAUCUUCAUGGAGUAUUUGGAUAAAUUCGUCGUGGUAUACCUUGAUGAUAUUCUCAUCUACUCGAAGAACGAACAAGAACAUGCCGAGCAUCUAAGGCUGGUAUUGAUGAAACUUCGAGAGCAUUGCCUUUAUGCCAAGUUUUCAAAAUGUGAAUUUUGGUUACCAGAAGUGACCUAUUUAGGCCACGUAAUCUCUAGUAAGGGUAUUGUUGUCAAUCCCGAGAGAGCUCAAGCUAUCCUUGAUUGGACUCAACCUGAAUCGGUUAAGAAAGUUAGGAGUUUUCUUGGUUUAGCGAGCUAUUGUCGCCGCUGUGUCGAUAACUUCUCCAAGGUUGCAAAGCCUCUAACUGAACUCCUCAAGAAAACUAAAAAGUUCGAGUGGACACCACACUGUGAGCAUAGUUUUGAGGAACUGAAAAGACGCCUGACUUCCGCACCUGUGUUGCUACCACCAGAUUUCUCUAAGGACUUUGUUAUCUAUUGCGACGCCUCGCGACAAGGAUUAGGUUGCAUUCUCAUGCAGGAUCGUCAUGUGAUUGCAUACGCAUCUCGACAGUUGCGUCCACAUGAGGAUAAUUAUCCCACACAUGAUCUUGAGCUUGCAGUUGUAGUCCAUGCACUUAAAACCUGGCGACAUUACCUUCUUGGUAAUCGUUGCAAAAUAUUCACUGAUCACUAAAGUCUGAAAUAUAUCUUCACCCAGCCGGAUUUGAAUCUCAGGCAAAGACGGUGGGUCGAGUUGAUCUCAGAUUACGACUUAGGGAUAACUUACACCCCGGGGAAGGCCAAUGUUAUGGCUGAUGCACUAAGUCAUAAGUCUUAUUGUAACAAUCUGAUGCACAACGAGGUCAACCACGUCUCUAUGAGGAAUUUCGGAAGUUAAACCUCCACAUUGUUCCUCAAGGAUUCCUUUCUAACCUGGUGGCGAAACCUACUCUUGUGGAUCAAAUCAUAGCUGUGCAGACAUAUGAUAAGGGUAUAUCCCGGAUCAAGGAGAAUAUUGCUAGCGGAAACGCUAGGGAUUUCUCUAUUAAUGAGCAAGGUAUCGUGUUCUUUCAGAACCGUUUAGUGGUUCCUAAGAGAAAACGUCUUCGGCAGUUGAUCCUUAAGGAGGCUCAUGAUUCUCCUCUCACCAUUCAUCCUGGCAAUACUAAGAUGUAUCAGGACCUACGCCAAAGGUUUUGGUGGACUAGGAGGAAGACAGAAAUUGUUGAGUUCGUUGCUAACUGCGACGUUUGUCGUCGAGUUAAAACGGAACAUCAAAGGCCUACUGGCACCCUUCAACCUUUAGCUAUUCCUGAAUGGAAAUGGGAUAAAGUUAGUAUGGAUUUCAUCACUGGAUUUCCCAAGACCAAGAAAGGAAAUAAUGCUAUCUUUGUGGUCAUUGACCGUCUUUCCAAAGUAGCUCAUUUUCUUCUAGUUCGUGAGAGUAUAACAGCUAGCGAGCUAGCGGAGUUAUAUAUCUCUUGAAUAGUGUCUCUUCAUGGUGUCCCUCUGGAGAUUAACUCAGAUCGUGGAAGUAUUUUUACUUCCCGUUUCUGGGAAAGUUUUCAGAAUGCCAUGGGGACUCACCUAUCUUUUAGCACUGCUUUUCACCCUCAAUCAAGUGGUCAAGUAGAAAGAGUGAACCAAAUCCUAGAGGAUAUGCUCCGAGCUUGUGUUAUAUCGUUCGGUAUGAAUUGGGAGAAGUGCCUUCCAUUCGCCGAAUUUGCUUAUAACAAUAGUUAUCAAUCAAUAUUGGACAAAGGCCCUUUUGAAGUUCUCUAUGGACGAAGAUGUUGAACACCUCUUAAUUGCUCAGAAACUGGAGAGAGGCAACUCUUUGGUCCGGAUAUGAUCCAGGAAGCAGAAGAGCAAGUUCGCAUUAUUCCUGAAAAGUUGAAAACAGUCCAAUCUCGUCAAAAGAGCCAAUAUGAUCGUCAUCAUAAGGUUGUGACCUUUGAAGUUGACGAGAAGGCUUAUCUUCGGGUUACACCUUUGAAGGGUACCCAUUGCUUCGGUAUCAAAGGCAAAUUGGCUCCUCGUUACAUUGGUCCUUUUCGCAUUGUUGACAAACGAGGAGAAGUUGCCUACCAGUUGGAACUUCCUCCGCAUCUUUCCAAGGUUCAUGACGUUUUCCACGUCUCGCAACUCAGGUGUUGCUUUUCGGAUCCUAUCCGUGAAGUGGACCACGAAACGCUUUAUCUCCAAGAUAACCUUUCAUACCGAGAAUACCCUGUUCGUAUUCUUGAUCAAGCUGAGUGUACCACUCGACGUCGAAACCUCAAGUUUAUUAAAGUUCAAUGGUCAAAUCAUUCUGAAAAAGAGGCAACAUGGAAAAGAGAGGACCGUCAUCGACUUGAGUAUCCCGCACUAUUCCUGACGACUUCCAAAUCUUGGGACGAGAUUCUUUUGAGUGGGGGUGAGUUGUCACAUCCCUAGCUACCCUUUGAAGUCUAGCAAGAUUGUGCUCAUGUUUAAUAUUGCAUUUAAAAGUGAAAAUGGAAAUCAAAGAGAAAAACCCUAGCAACUACAUAUUCAAAGUAAUUCAAACUUGUGACAAAUCACUGAACUCAAAAUGGCCUUCAUAAAAGUCCAUCAUUUUUAUUAAAUAUUGGAAACAACAAUUCAAUGGUGGAUUUAUUUUUAAAAAUAGUUUUGGCAUUUUAUUUAAAAUACAAAAUCCACUGAAAUCAACUAUAUAUUUGAUUUCAAAUAUUUCAGAAUUUCAUAAAAUGUUGAAUCUUUUAUAUGGGGUUGGAAAUAUUCCAAAUAACACCCCAGAGUUUAUUCACUAUUUUAGAAAUAGUUUGGAGCCAAAAAUAAAAUCAAACAAAUGUCAGAAAGUUUAAAACAGAAAACAGAAAAGAAAAGAAAUGGAAAAGAGUUACCUGUCGCUCACCUGGCCCAAGCCCAUCCCCUCGUUGUCGUCUUCCUCUUGCCAGUCGGUAGCAGGAGGUGGCCGCCGCCACCUCCAGCAAGGCCACGCACCUGCAUGCCUCCCUCGAUCCUCCAACACAUUGGCAAGGAGGAUAACCCUCCCUGCAACCCAUUCCAGCUCUCUCCCCCUCCUCACUCGCCCCUCUGCGCCUCUCUCUCGGCCGCCAUUGGAGCCGAGCUCGAGCUCGAGCUCGCCGUCGUUCCUGGCCACCCCAAGCCCCCCUGAGCACGCCGUUCGCGCCGCCUCAUCAAGCACUUCGUCCCUGCGAAUGGAAAAGAGCCUCUGAGCCGUGCAUCGUCAUAUUGUCGUCGUCUUCUUCCUUGGGCCGCCAUUGAUCACCGUCGUCGUUCUCCUUUUCUAGGCCGUCCCCGAGCACGCUCUCGACACCUCUGCAAUCCCUGUCAUCAAAGGAUGGUUUCCCCCUCGUUUACCCCCCCCCCCUCGAUCCCGUGCCCUAGCGCCUGAUUCCACCGGAGCCCGACGAGAUCCGCCGUGGGAGCUCGUCGUCGGUGAUGGUACGAUGAUGGGUUGGUCCAUCUGAGACCACCAUCAUCUUCGGUGCAUCGUGUACAUGUCGUAGGAGCCAAGCCCCGUCCCUUUUGCCCUUUGGAUCGAUGACUUCGAUGUUGCCCGAGCUCCGACAGCCGCCGAGCUCGUCGCCGGCGUCAGCUCCGACCACUUCAGCCCCUGAGCAUAGCAAAAAUGGAUGCGCCAUCGAGUGGUCGUUCUCCUAGUGCCCUCCGCCAUCCUUUUGGUUGCCGGAGGAGCGAUCCCGAAGCCCUCCACCAUCCCUGGAGUCACCGGAGGCUCGCCGCCGGUGGGUUUGAGCCCAUCGCCGGUGGGUUUGACCCCCGUGGGUCUAUGAGAGAUGGGGCCAGCCCCUCGCUAAUUAAAGUUUAAACUAAUAAAAAUAAUUAGUUAAUUAAAUGACUAAACAGUCACUCACAUGUGGGCCAACCCCUGUUAAAUAACUAAUUAACUUAAACUUUAAUUAAAAUCUGGCCAGAGUCACUGACCGGUGGGUCCCACUGGUCAGGUUUGACUUUCAACGGCGAGUUGGACGUGCUGAUGUCAUGUUGAUGCAGUAACUCUAUUUUGGAUUUAAUAUAAUUCCAGAAAAUGCUAAAACUUUGGAAAUUCAUAGAAAAUUAAAUAUAACUCCAAAUUUGACAAAUAAUAUCUGCAAAUUGAUCAGAAAAUUCAGUGAACACAAUGAUGCUACUUUCAUGCAUGACAAACAAAGUUAUGAAACAACAUCAGGUCAAAUCAAUUAAAUGAAUAUGAUAAAUAUGCUAUUUCAACUAAUAUUUGAAUUUGAAUUCAAAUCAGCAUCAUCCCAAAGGUUUGAUAGCCACACUACCUCAUGCUACAUUUCAUUUCAUGCCAUGAUCAUGCAUCAUAUUGUUGCAUAUGAAUGUUAUUGAUUGUCGCUAUUGUUUUGGUAGGCUCUUCCCUUCCGGAUACGUCCAAAUAUCCGACUAACGGAUUUAAUCCGUGUGCUGAGCAACAAGGCAGGUACCCUUUUGAUCAUCCCAAUAUAAUCCCAUGUUCUUGCUCCUGCUCCCACUUCUUGCAUUAGGACAAAAUAUUUCAAAUGCUUUACUUCCGUAGCUAAACCUAUUCCUUUGCAUGACCUAUCAUUGUCACAGUAAAUAGCCAAACCUUGCAACCUAGCAUACCUGGUAGUUGUGUGAGCCAUGAUGUGCUAUUUCCUGCUAUGCUUGCUAUGCCUAGAGUCGUGUCACGUCUGUUUCAUCUGGGUGAUGAACAGGAAUGGAUGAAUGUGUCCUAGUGACAAAGUAUAAGUGUGGAACCUUAUUUGGUAAAGGUACCGAUGAAAGGCUAUGUAGGAGUACAUGGCAGGUUGUUUCAUUGGAACCGUCCUUAGGAACUGAGUUCCGUGCAUGUAAUCCAAGACUAGAUACUACCACACGUUGGGAUACUUAAUUGACCCUCUCGGCUUAUUAAUCGCCUAGUACCCGGUCCAUGAGUUGCAAGUAGUUUCUGGUGUUUAUAGUCAUGCUGGAGGUCGUGCAUAGUGCUGACCUUAGAGGUGGGCUAUGAUGCGGUAGGCAGUGGCACGGUGUACCAAGUGGCACCCGGAUGGUGGGCUUGGGAACCCUACGCACAUCGUUUGGGGCCGUGACGGGAACCUCGGCUGGACUUCCGUGCGGGUUACACUCAAAUAGGCGAUAGACCUAGACUAGGUAUUAGUGUGGUUAACGGUCGUGGCCGACUCCCUCGCUGGGCUUCCGCUUGAAGGUUGUCGAGGUGCAUGAUGUGCACAUGGCGAUAGGUGGCGAGAGCGUGUGUGAAGAAGUACACCCCUCCAGGGUUAUGAUCUAUUCGAAUAGCCGCGUCCGCGAAUAUGGACUACUUGGAGACAUAUGUUGUUCAUAGACAACUUUAAUGGAUGCUCAUAAAAGUAUCAAGAUAAGCGUGAGUAUCAUGUAUGGCAUUUCCGUAGGGAGACGGAAAGGAGUUCAUGAUAGUGUAUUGUUGUGGUGGUAGUGGACUCGUGUACGACUUAUCAAAGUUGUUUAAAACUAUUUAAAAUUGUAGUUUAGUCUAGCCAAGAGUCAAAGGUGGCUUGCUGCAUGAAACACCACAACCCCCUUUGUUGAUACAUGUGCAUGAGUAGAUAGAUGUGUUCUAAAGUCUUGUUGAGUACUCUUGUACUCAUGUUUGCUAAAUAAUUGUUGCAGAGGAUACCCAUGAGCAAACAGGUGGGUUCUUUCUAGACAUCGAUGAUGACGAGUAGCUGGUGUCCCAGCUACAACCUGGCCCUUUUAGAAGGAAUCUGUAGAUAGUCAGGCUUUAUGCCUUUUCCUUUCAACUAUCUGUACUCACACAACUUUUAUGCUUCCGCUUGGUUUGUAUAACUCUGCUUGUAUGACUUGAGUGUCGGGUCGUGUGACUCCUGCCUGUAUGAACAUAUUAUGCAAGACUCUUCUGAGUCUUCUAAAUAAAUGUCGUGUUGUUGUAUGGUUAUGUUGUGAUGCCAUUGUUGUAUCUAUGCAUAUCAAGUAUGUGAUAACCCAUGAUGUUUGUUGUGUACCCCUGGCAAUUGUGCCAGAAAUACUCCUACUAUGGCACGUUGGUAUUCCCUCGAAGCGGAAAGGGUGAUGUAGCACAGCGACGGUAAGUAUUUCCCUCAGUUUGAGAACCAAGGUAUCAAUCCGGCGGAAGAUUAUCUCACCAACCUGCACAAACACAAAAGCUUGCACCCAACGCUAUGAAGGGGUUGUUAAUCCCUUACAGAUUGUUUGCCAAGUGAGAACUGGAAGUAACAAAGUAACAAAGAAAAGUAAAAGCGGAGUUGUAAACGAUGGAUGUGAAUAAACCCGGGGGGGCGUAGUGUGUACUAGUGGCUUCUCUCAUGAAAGCAAGUAGACGGUGGGUGAACACAUUACUGCCGAGCAAUUGAUAGAACUGUGUAGACUCGUGACGAUAUCUAUGCAAUGAUUAUUUCUAUAGGCAUCACGUCCGAAACAAGUAGACCGAUACUUUCUGCAUCUACUAUUAUUACUCCACACAUCGACCGCUAUCCAGCAUGCAUCUAGUGUAUUAAGUCCAUAAGAACAGAGUAACGCCUUAAGCAAGAUGACUUGAUGUAGAGGGAUAAUCUCAAACCAAUGAUAAAAACCCCAUCUUUUUACCCUUGAUGGCAACUGAUUGAUGUGUACCCUGUUGCCACAUGGCAGAACCCAAAACCAAGCACUUCUCCCAUUGCAAGAAUCAUAGAUCUAGUUGGCCAAACAAAACCCAAGACUCGGAGAGACUUACAAGGAUAUCAAAUCAUGCAUAUAAGAAAUCAGCAAAGACUCAAAUAUAUAUCAUAGAUAAUCUGAUCACAAGUCCACAAUUCAUCGGAUCUCGACAAACACACCGCCAAAGAAGAAUACAUCAGAUAGAUCUCCAUGAAGAUCAUGGAGAACUUUGUAUUGAAGAUCCAAGAGAGAGAAGAAGCCAUCUAGCUACUAACUACGGACCCGUAGGUCUGAAGUGAACUACUCACGGGUCAUUGGAGGGGCGAUGAUGAUGAUGAAGAAACCCUUCACCUCCAAAGUCCCCUCCGGCAGGGCGCCGAGAAGGGUCUCCAGAUGAGAUCUCGCGGAAACGGAAGCUUGUGACGGCGGAAAAGUAUUUUCGAGCCUCCCCUGAUUUUUUGCGGAAUAUUUGGGAAUAUAUAGGCGCAAAACCUAGGUCAGGAGGCGGCCAAGGAAGCCACAAGCUUGCCCACCGCCGCCUCCCCCCUGGUGGCGGAGUGUGCCCUUGUGGGCUCCCUGGGGCCCACCUGGACUGGCCCAAAGUCUCCAUGGACUUCUUACGUUCGGGAAAAAUCAUUUCGGGGUUUUUCUUCCGUUUGGACUCCGUUCCAAAAUCAGAUCUGAAAAGAGUCAAAAACACAGAAAAACAGGAACUCGCACUUGGCACUGAAUCAAUAAGUUAGUCCCCGAAAAGAUAUAAAAAGCUACAUAAAACAUACAAAGAAGACAAGAUAACAGCGUGAAAUCAUAAAAAAUUAUAGAUACGUUUGAGACAUAUCUACCCACAAGUAUAGGGAAUCGUAACAGUUUUCGAGGGUAGAGUAUUCAACCCAAAUUUAUUGAUUCGACUCAAGCGGAAGCCAAAGAAUAUUCUCAAGUAUUAGCAGUUGAGUUGUCAAUUCAACCACACCUGAAAGAUUUAGUAUCUGCAGCAAAGUAUCAGUAGCAAAGUAGGGUGAUAGCAGCAGUAGCAACAGUAACCAGUAGCAGCAGUGACAGCAGUAGCAACAGUGUAACAGUAGCAGCUGUGACAGCAGUAGUGGCAAAGUAACGUAGCAAGGACCAGUAGUAAGAGACUCAUAGGCAUUGGAUCGGUGAUGGAUGAUUAUGCUGGAUGCUAUUCAUCAUGCAACAGUUAUAACACAGGGAGAUAUGUAACUAGCUCCAGUUCGUCAAUGUAAUGUAGGCAUGUAUUCCGUAUGUAGUCAUACGUGCUUUGGGAAAAGAACUUGCAUGUCAUCUAUUGUCCAUCCCUCCCGUGGCAGUGGGGUCCUAAUGGAAACUACGGGAUAUUAAGGUUCUCCUUUUAAUAAAGAACCGGACCAACGCAUUAACACUUGGUGAAUACAUGAACUCCUCAUACUAUGGUCAUCUCCGGGAGUGGUUCUGGCUAUUGUCACUCCGGGGUUGCCGGGUCAUAACACAUACUAGGUGACUACAACUUGCAAGAUAGGAUCAAGAACACACAUAUAUUGGCGACAACAUAAUAGGUUCAGAUCUGAAGUCAUGGCGCUCGGGCCCUAGUGACAAGCAUUAAGCAUGGCAAAGUAGUAGCAACAUCAAUCUCAGAACAUAGUGGAUACUAGGGAUCAAUCCCCAUCAAAACUAACUCGAUUACAUGAUAGAUCUCAUCCAACCCAUCACCGUCCAACAAGCCUACGAUGAGAUUACUCACGAACGGUGAAGAGCAUCAUGGAAUUGGCGAUGAAGGAAGGUUGAUGAUGACGGAGGCAACGAUUUCCCCUCUCCGGAGCCCAAAACGGACUCGAGUCUGCCCUUCACAUGAAGAACGGGGGGUGGCGGCGCCUCCGUAUCGUAGAACGCGACGAACUUUUCUCCUUGAUUUUUGUUGGGCGAAACGGACUAAAUAGAGCUGGAUUUGGAGACGGUGGAGUUUUGUGGGCCCCACAAGCCUGCCAGGCACGGCCAGGGGGGACGCGCCUGGUGGGCUUGUGGGCUCCACGCUCCACUUCCUCCGCUAAUUCUUGCGCGAGUAUUUUUUUAUAUUCCACAAAAAAUCUCCGCAAAUUUUUCAGGUCAUUCUGAGAACUUUUAUUUCUGCGCAAAAACAACACCAUGGCAAUUCUGCUGAAAACAGUGUUAGUCCGGGUUAGUUCCAUUCAAAUCAUGCAAAUUAGAGUCCAAAACAAGGGCAAAAGAGUUCGGAAAAGUAGAUACGACGGAUACGUAUCAACUCCCCCAAGCUUAAAGCCUUGCUUGUCCUCAAGCAAUUCAGUUGACAAACUGAAAGAGACAAAAGAAAAACUUUUACGAACUCUGUUUGAUCUUGUUGUUGCAACUAUGUCUGACUCAUAACUAGAAUUUUAGCAAGAUCACAAGCUAACCACAUAAGCAAAUGACAUCUUGGUCUCGCGGUAAACUCAUAUCAAUGGCAUAAUCAACUAGCGAGCAAAUAAUAAUAAGUCUCAAACGUCAACACUUCAAUCAAAACAAUCAUGAAGCAGUAUGAACAGAUGGUAUCUCGCUAGCUCUUUCUGAGACCGCAAAACAUAAAUGCAGAGCAUCUUCAAAGACCAAGGGCUGACUAAACAUUGUAAUUCAUGGCAAAGAAGAUCCAGUCACAGUCAUACUCAUCACAGUUAAAAGCAAAGCAUAAAAAUGACAGAGGUUCUCUCUAAUUGGUGCUUUUAUAAGAAGAGGAUGACUCAACAGGAACAUAAAUAGACAGGCCCUUCGCAGAGGGAAGCAUUGAUUUGUAGAGGUGCGACAGCUCAAGCUUCGAAAACAGAGAUAAUAAUUUUGGUGGCGUGCUUUCAUUAUCAAAGCAAUGACAAAGAGUUCUCACCAUCUUCCACGCUACACAUGCUAUAGGCGGUUCUCAAACACAAAAGUAAAGUUUUGACUCCCCCACCACCAAUCAAUCACACUCCACGACUAGCUGAAUACUUGGGUGCCGUCCAUAUCAACAUCAAUCCUGGGGGGUUUUGUUUGCAAUUAUCUUUUUUGAUUUGAGCAUGGAACUGGGAAUUCCAAUUACCGGCCCCUUUCUCGUGAAUGAUAGUGAAUAAACACAUAUCGAGGAUAACACGCCUAGCAUGGAAGAUACUGAUAACCCCCUGUCACCACAUGAGCGGUUCGGGCAUGCAAAACAGAUUAUUUCUUGAAGAUUUAGAGAGUGGCACAUGCAAAUUUACUUGGAACGGCAGGUAGAUACCGCAUAUAGGUAGGUAUGGUGAACUCAUAUGGAACAACUUUGGGUUUAUGGAAGUGGAUGCACAAGCAAUAUUCCCGCUUAGUACAAGUGAAGGCUAGCAAAAGACUGGGAAGCGACCAACUAGAGAGCGACAACAGACAUCAAAAUGCAUUGAGAUUAACCAACAUUGAGUGCAAGCAUGAGUAGGACAUAAAUCACCAUGAAGAUGAAUAUCAUAGAGGCUAUGUUGAUUUUGUUUCAACUACAUGCGUGAACAUGCGCCAAGUCAAGCCACAUGAAACAUUCAAAGGAGGAUACCAUCCUAUCAUACUACAUCAUAGUCAUCUCAAAAUUCAUGUUGGCAUCCAAGACAAACCAUUAUAAGCUCCUAGCUAAUUAAGAAUGGCAUCAGAAACUAUGAUCUCUAAGUUGUCAUUGCAAACAUGUUUCUCUAACAACAAAGCUGAAUCAGGAAUGAUGAGCUAGUCAUAUUUACAAAAACAAAAUAGAUCGAGUUCAUACCAGUUUUUCCAGGCUCAGUCACUUCAUCAUAUAUCGUCAUUAUUGCCUUUCACUUGCACGACCGAAUGAUGUGAACAAUAAUAAGAGUGCUCGUGCAUUGGACUAAGCUGGAAUCUGCAGGAAAACACAAAGGAGAAGACAAAGUAAUAUGGCUCUUUGACAGAUAAACAGAUAUGGAUGCGAGAGCCACUAAACAUUGUAACCAUGGUCUUCUACCUUGACCCAAAGAAAAAGAAAACUAUUUACACGGGAAAGCUCCCAACAAGCAAAAGAAGAACAAGAAAAUCUUUUUGGGUUUUCUCAAACUAGAUAGACACACGAAAAGAAAACGAGAAAAAGAAAAUAAACUAGCAUGGAUGAUAGAAUGGCAAAGUGUGAACACCGACAAACAAAGUGAAAGCAUAAGCAAGAAUGUAAAGUCGGUGAGAAACACGUACUCCCCCAAGCUUAGGAUUUUGGCCUAAGUUGGUCUACUCCCAAGGAGGGAAAUACCAACUCCGGGGUACUCCAGAGUGGAUUGAGAAUGCCACUGCUGCGUGAGCUCCUCUGGCUCCCACUGAUAAACUAGCGUCUGGUACUCGACUGGUGGCUCGGGCACGGGCACCUGUGGUUGGGCUAUGCCCCAAUAUGCGUAGAUGUUCAAGGGCAUAAUAAUGUACCUGCCUGCAUGAAGAUUGAACAAAGAAGGAGCGGGCAAACUAAUAGUCUCACGAGUACCCUGACUAAAUACCAGGUUAUAAAUCAUCCUUCUAUUUAUAUCUCUAUCAAGAAAGUCAUGGCGAACCAUGCUAUCAUAGUCUAGAUAUCUCUCGGGAAGAAGAAUCUCUUCUUUCUCGUCCAGUCUAAUAGGUAUCUCAAAAUGUCUAGCAAGACGGGUAGCAUAUAUACCUCCAUAGACAACGCCUUUAGAACGGUUCGUGUUCAACCGUUGAGCUACUAUAGCGCCCAAGCUAUAAGUUUUGUCGUUAUAAAGGGCUUCGCGCAAGACCGCAAGAUCUGGGGAGCUAAGGGACCCAGCUUUCCCAUGGCCAAUCAAACAUUUUACCACAAAUAGUGAGAAGUACCGAAGCAUGGGAACAUGUAUGCUAGCAGCUCUAGCGCAAGACACUCCUCUCUCCUCUCCUACAACAAUAGUAUCGAUGAAAGCUUCCAAGUCCCGUGGACGAGGUUCAUGAAUAUCCCCAACAAAAGGCAAUUUGCAAACAUUGCAAAAAUCCUGGAGUGACAUGUGCUGGGGGAUAUCAUAUAAUUUGAACUCAAACAUAGGAGGAUUCUUCCUUGGAUAGAAGUUAAAGCUUUGCACGAAAAUAUUAGUGAGGAGGAGGUAUUGCGGACACUUGUCUUCGACGAAGGCGGUAAGGACUGCGUUCUCCACCAAGUGAUAAAAGUCCUCAUAAAGUCCGGUGGCGCGUAAGAACACAUCGCUUGGCCAUUCUCACGCUCGAACUUCUGCAACUCGAGGGACCAGAUACUUUGGCUUCUUCUCACUUCUAUCAUCCUUGGGGUCACGGCUUGAAGAGCCUCUUAAGAACCUCCUCCAAUUUUCCCUUUUCUAUCUCUGAAAAUUUCUGAAAUUUUUAGUGACUCUAAGGAAAACUGAACAAGGCUCAACAAAACUCAUAGCAACUACUCCCACAAGUGCCUAGAGGCCAUAUCACGCAUCAAAACUACUUGGGACCAGCUAAAAUUAGCAUGCAAAGCUCAAGCACAAGGUCACCAAGGCAGCAAAAAUACGCGAAGUAUAAGGCACUAGAGCAAAAACUAAUUGGACCAAUGGAGGAGUCACUUACCAAGGAGUAAUUUCCCCAAAACAGUUCGGAGAAUGGUGCUUUGCACAAGGAGAUCGAAAAUCCUAGCAAGAAGAGCAAGAACACGGGUUUGAGCUGUGAAAAGAUUUUUUCUGGAGGUAGGAGAAGCAGAUGGGAGCUAGAAUAAGUGGAGGGGGUGCACGUGGGCCCCACAAGCCUGGUAGGCGCGGCCAGGGGGUGCCCGCGCCUCUAGGGCUUGUGGACCACUGGUGCAGCCCCAGACUAGCUCUUCGUCUCGGUAUUUUCCAAAAAUUCCAGAAAAAAUCAUACUUGAUUUUCACGACAUUCAGAGAACUUUUAUUUUCGGGGUACUUUUCCACGGGACGCUAAAACAGAAAACAGGGAAAACUAAACUAAAUCUAUCAUUUUUCUUCUAAGCAACCGAAGGUGAAAGCUUGGAACAGAGGUUUGUGACUCCUCGAUUCAUCCAUCUCAUGGUCAUUGAAAGAAAUCCGUCAACGAGGUUGGUCAAGUCUACUUGACAAACCUUUUCGAACCGCAAAAGUGAACGGAGAAUUUUUGAAUAGUCACUAGGUUACCUCAAUGGGGAUGUGUAUCUCCCCAACAAGCAAAUCAUACUUCAUCUUAACAGGAGGAAUAGGGCAUUCAAAGCUCCCAAUAAGAAUCGAUGAAGUUUUUUCGAUAGCAUUGAUGCAAUGUACUCGAUAUUGUUUCUUUGGAAAGUGCACCGUAUGCUCAUUACCAUUGACAUGGAAAGUGACAUUGCCUUUGUUGCAAUUUGUAACAGCCCCUGCAGUGUUUAAAAAGGGUCUUCCAAGGAUGAGCGCCAUGGCAUCAUCCUCGGGGAUAUCCAGAAUAACAAAGUCUAUUACGAUAGUGACAUUUGCAACCACAACUGGCACAUCCUCGCAAAUGCCGAUAGGGAAAGCAGUUGAUUUGUCGGCCAUUUGCAAAGAGAUUUCAGUGGGUGUCAACUUAUCCAGUUCAAGCCUACGAUAAAGAGAAAGAGGCAUAACACUAACACCGGCUCCAAGAUCGCAUAAAGAAGUUCUAACGUAGUUGCCUUUAAUGGAGCAAGGUAUAGUGGGCACUCCGGGAUCACCUAGUUUCUUAGGAGUUCCACCCUUGAAGGUAUAAUUAGCGAGCAUGGUGGAAAUCUCAACCUCAGGUAUCCUCCUUUUAUUAGUAACAAUAUCAUUAAUGUAAUUAGCAUACAGAGACAUUUUGAGCAUAUCUGUCAAACACAUUUGCAAGAAGACAAGUCUAAUCAUUUCAACAAAUCGCUCAAAAUCCUCAUCAUCCUUUUUCUUGAAUGGUUUGGGAGGAAAGGGCAUGGGUUUCUGAACCCAUGGUUCCCUCUCUUUACCAUGCUUCCUAGCAGCGAAGUCGUUCUUAUCAUAUCUCUUAUUCUUAGGCUGUGGGUUAUCAAGAUCAACAGGUUCAAUCACCACAUCCUUAUCGUUGCUAGGUUGAGCAUCUUCAUGAACACCACUAUCGAUAUUAUCAUUAGGCUCACGUUCAUCACCAGAUUGCGUUUCAGCAUCAGAGACAGAGACAUCAUUUGGACUCUCAGGUGUAGCAGCAACAGGGUUGCUAGUGUGCAAGUUCCUAUCAUCUUUCUUCUUUUUCCCAGGAUGACUAGGUGCAUCAGUGUUAACUCCUUGAGAAUCAUGUUCAAUUCUCUUAGGAUGACCCUUGAUACAUCUCCAACGUAUCUACUUUUCCAAACUAUUUUGCCCUUGUUUUGGACUAUAAUUUGCAUGAUUUGAAUGGAACUAACCUGGACUGACGAUGUUUUCAGCAAAAUUGCCUUGGUGUUAUUUUUGUGCAGAAAUCAAAGUUCUCCAAACGUCCUGAAAAUUUACGGGGAGCAGUUUUGGAAAAUAUCAAAAAUACCUGCGCCAGGAUCCACCUGAGGGGGUGGGCCAGUAGGCCACAAGCCCCUACUCCGCCACCACCCCCUGGUGGCGGUGGGCAGGCUUGUGGGGCCCACGGGCACCUGCCGCCCCCAAUUCCAGCUCUAUAAGUUGUCUUUCAUCCCAGAAAAAAUUAAAAAGAGAAGUUUUCGUCGCGUUUACGAUACGGAGGCGCCGCCACCACCUGUUCUUCAUCUGGAGGGCAGAUCUGGAAUCCGUCUUGGGCUCCGGAGGGAGGAAAUCAUCGCCAUCGCCAUCAUCAACCUUCUUCCCUCUCCAAUUCCAUGAAGCUCUUCGUCGUUCGUGAGUAAUCUAUUCGUAGGCUCGCUGGACGGUGAUGAGUAGGAUGAGAUCUAUCAUGUAAUCGAGUUAGUUUUGAUGGGGAUUGAUCCCUAGUAUCCACUAUGUUUUGAGAUUUGAUGUUGCUACUACUUUGUCAUGCUUAAUGCUUGUCACUAGGGCCCGAGUGCCAUGAUUUCACAUCUGAAAUUAUUAUGUUGUCACCAAUAUAUGUGUGUUUUAGAUCCGAUCUUGCAAGUUGUAGUUACCUACUAUGUGCUAUGAUCCGGCAACCCCGGAGUGACAAUAACCGAAACCACUCCCGGUGGUGACCAUAGUUUGAGGAGUUCAUGUGUUCACCAAGUGCUAAUGCAUUGGUCCGGUUCUUUAUUAGAAGGAGAACCUUAAUAUCCCGUAGUUUCCUUUUGGAUCCCGCUGCCACGGGAGGGAUGGACAAUAGAUGUCAUGCAAGUUCUUUUCCCUAAGCACGUAUGACGACACAUGGAAGCAUGCCUACAUCACAUUGACGAACGGGAGCUAGCCACAUAUCUCUCCGUGUUAUAGCUGUUGCAUGAUGAAUAUCAUCCAAACAAAUCACCGACCCAAUGCCUACGAGUUUGUCCUACUGUUGCUACUGUUGUUACUUGUCUUGCUCUGCUGCUAUACUGUUGCUACUGUCGUUACUUGUCUUGCUCUGCUGCUACUACUGUUGCUACUGCUGUUACUUGUCUUUCUCUGAUGCUGCUACUAUUGUUGCUACUGCUGUUACUUGCUUUGCUCUGCUGCUACUGUUGGUACUACUGUCGCUUGCUACUGUUGCUACUUGCUACUUCUGUCACUACUGUUGUUCCUUGCCACUGCUAUUGCUCGUUACAGUGCCGAUACCCGCUACUUUGCUGUUACUUCUUCGCUGUUACUAUUGUGCUUGCAGAUACUAAUCUUCCAAGUGUGGUUGAAUCUGACAAAUUCAGCUGCUAAUACUUGAGAGUAUACUCUCACCUCCUAACUGGCGUACCUACAAAUUGGGUCGAAUACUCUACCCUCGAAAACUGCUCCGAACCCACGCACUGGUGGGCCAUCAACAACAUUCUUCCAGUUUCAUUGUCGGGGAGUGCUAUUAGCAUUCUUCUGGUGCCAUUGUAGGAGAAGGUUAGUUGUUAUAAGCAUUCGUCCAGCUAACACUAGAGAUUGCAGGAUCAGCACUUUUCUGGACCCCUUGCCAGAGAAGCACAGCUGACGUCAGCAUUUUUCUGGAGCCGUUGCGGGGAAGGUAUUGCUAUAUUCUCUGAGUUACUUGGGAUUUAUAUCCAAAUGUCUGCUAACAUAAUCUUGAUAUGUCGCCUGUGCUUGAUGAUGCUACUUCUGCUGCCCAUGAUGCUUAUGAUGAUGCUAUGCUUGAUACUAUGCCUGAUGAUACUAUGCUUGUUACUGCUAGAGAUGCUAUGUUUGAUACUACUAGAGAUGCUAUGCUUGAUACUGCUUUGCCUGAUGAUGCUAGAGACGCUACUAUGCCUAAUGAUGCUAUGCUUGAUACUGCUAGAGAUGCUCCUUUGCCUGUUCCACUAGGAGUGUUCCUUGAUGCUCAUAUUGCUAGAGUUACUGCCAAUCCUCGUGAUGCUUCUGAUACUGCCGAUGCUAUUGAGAUGGAACCUGCUUUUGCUCCUGCUAGAUCUAGCUCUCCUAGAUAUGAAUUGUGGGUUAUACCUGAGGGUUACCUUAUGGAGGGAGAGAUAGCUGAGGAUUUUCUUGCGUGUAAGGAUGCCUAUGACGCUGAGAAAUUAGUUCUCAAGUGGAAGGAAAAAUCUCGGGAAGUUAGGAUGAAAAAUGAUCCGAAGUUUGCCACUUCGCCUAUAUUUGUCACCGAUAAGGAUUAUGAAUUCUCUGUUGACCCUGAGAUAAUCUCUCUAGUCGAAUCUGAUCCUUUUCAUGGUUAUGAGUCUGAGACGGUCAUAGCCCAUCUUGCCAAACUAUCCGAAAUAGCCAACCUCUUCACUAAUGAGGAGAAGAUCCGCCACUACUAUAUCCUUAAGUUGUUUCCUUUCUCUCUAAAGGAUGAUGCUAAAGCCUGGUUCACCUCUCUUGCUCCUGGAUGUGUGCGUAGUCCCCACGAGAUGGUCUAUUACUUCUGUGAGAAAUAUUUCCCUGCCCAUAAGAAGCAAGCUGCCUUGCAAGAAAUAUACAACUUUGCCCAACUCCAAGAAGAGAGUCUUCCACAAUCUUGGGGGAGGUUCGUCUAGCUAGAGAAUGCUUUGCCUGAUCACCCUCUCAAGAAGAACGAGAUACUUGAUAUCCUCUAUAACGGACUUACCGAUGCCUCUAGAGACUACCUAGAUAGUUGUGCCAGUUGUCUUUUUAGGGAACGAACUGUAGAACAAGCUGAGACCCUACUGAAUAACCUCUUGAUCAAUGAUAAUGCUUCGACUAUUCCCGAACCACCUCCUAAGCCAACUCCUAAGAAAAGAGGUAUUCUAUUCCUCAGUCCCGAAGAUAUGGAAGAAGCCAAGAAAUCUAUGCAAGAGAAAGGCAUUAGAUCUGAAGAUGUCAAAAAUCUACCACCUAUCGAAGAGAUCCACGGUCUCGAUAACCCGAUACAGGUAGUAGAAGUGAAUUCUCUGCGUAGGUUUGACGAGAGUGAUAUUCCUUUCGAUAAACCUGCUACCCUAUGCUUUGAUGAAUUUGACAACUUUGUUGCCAAACAACAGAGUUUCAAUGAUUAUGUUAGCAGACAUUUGGAACAAAGUGCUCGUAUGCUUAGCCAUCUAAGUGCUUAUGUAGACAGAAAUGUCAAUGCUCUGAAACUUCUGAGUAAACAUGCCUCUAUGAUUACUACUCAGGUAGAACAACUACUUAAAGCUCAGAAUGACAUGCUCAAUGAAUUAAAUGACAACUCUGUCAGAGUCAUUACUAGAGGAGGCAAAAUGACUCAGGAACCUUUGUAUCCUGAAGGUCAUCCUAAGAGAAUUGAUCAAGAUUCUCAAGGAAUCAAUGCUGAUACACCUAGUCAUCCUAAGGAGAAGAAGAAGGAUGAUAGAAAACUGCAUGCCAGUUCACCAAAUACUAUCACACCUGAAGAACCUAAUGAUAUUUCUGCGUCUAAUGCAGAAAUACAAUCAGGUGAUAAACAUGAACCUAGUGACAACAUGGACAGUGAUGUUCAUAAUAAUGCUCAACCUAGCCAUGAUGAGGAUGUGGAGAUUGAACCUACGGUUAAUCCUGAUAAUCCACAACCUAAGAGAUACGACAAGAAUGACUUUACUGCUAGGAAGCAUGGUAAAGAAAGAGAGCCAUGGGUUCAGAGACCUAUGCCCUUUCCUCCUAAGCCAUCCAAGAAAAAGGAUGAUGAGGAUUUUGGGCGCUUCGUUGAGAUGAUAAGACCCGUCUUUCUGCAGAUGCGGUUAACUGAUAUGCUCAAGAUGUCUCUGUAUGCCAAGUACAUGAAAGAUAUCAUGACUAAUAAACGGAAGAUACCAGAUCUUGAGAUCUCCACCAUGCUUGCCAAUUACGCUUUUAAAGGUGGAACUCCUAAGAAACUUGGUGAUCCCGGAGUGCCCACUAUACCUUGCUCCAUUAAAGGAAACUACGUAAGAACUGCCUUAUGUGACCUUGGAGCCGGUGUUAGUGUUAUGCCACUUUCUCUUUAUCGUAGACUUGAGUUGGAUAAGUUGACACCCACUGAAAUUUCUCUGCAAAUGGCCGACAAAUCAACUGCUUUCCCUAUCGGCGUUUGCGAGGAUGUGUCUGUUGUGGUUGCUAACACCACUAUCUUAACAAACUUUGUUAUCUUGGAUAUUCCCGAGGACGAUGCCAUGGCUAUCAUCCUCGGAAGACCCGUUUUUAAACACCGCAGGGGCUGUUAUAGAUUGCAACAAAGGCAAUGUCACUUUCCAUGUCAACGGUAACGAGCACACAGUGCACUUUCCGAAGAAAGGAUAUCCGGUACAUUGCAUCAAUGCUAUCGAAAAGACUUCAUCGAUUCUCAUUGGGAGCUUUGAAUUCCCUAUUCCUCGUGUCAAGAUGAAGUAUGAUUUGCUUGUUGGGGAGAUCCAUAUCCCCAUUGAGGUAACUUAGUGGCUAUUCAAAAAUUCUCCGUUCUCUCUUGCGAUUCGAGAAGGUUUUGUCAUAAGGACUUGAUCAACCUCAUUGACGAAUUUCUUCCGAUGACCAUGAAACGGAUGAAUCAGAGAGUCACAUACCUCUAUUUUGAGUCUUCAUUUUAUGUUGCUUAGAAGAAAAAUGAUGGAAUUAGUUUAGCUUUUCUUGUUUUCUGUUUUAGCGUCCCGGAGAAAAAUACCUCGAAAAUAAAAGUUCUCGGAUGGUCCUGAAAAUUUAGUAUGAUUGUUUCUGGAAUUUUUGAAAAUUUCUGGGCCUGAGAGCUGGUCAGGGGGCCUGACCAGUGGGCCACAAGCCCCCCCCCCACCGCCACCUACCCCCCUGGUGGUGGGGUGCAAGCUUGUGGGGCCCACAGGCAUCCCCUACACUCAUUCCAGCUCUCAGCCUCUUCUUCCACCUCUAGAAAAAAUUGUUUCGCAGCUCAAACCCGUGUUCUUGCUCAUUUGGCUGUGAUUUUCGAUCUCCUUGCUCAAAGCACCAUUCUCCGAACUGUUUUGGGGAAAUUACUCCUGUGAAGUGACUCCUCCAUUGGUCCAAUUAUUUUUUGCUCUAGUGCUUUAUCCUUCGCAAAUUCUUGCUACCUUGGUGAACCUGUUCUUGAGCUAUAAAAGUUGAUUUUAGCUGGUCCCAAGUAGUUUUAGCGCGUGAUACGGUCUCUAGGCACUAGUAGGAGUAGUUGCUACAAGUUGGGUUAAUCCUUAUUCACUUUUCUUUCGAAGUCUCUAAAAAUUUCAGAAUUUUUCAGAGCUAGAAAAAGGAAGAGAUGAGGAGGUUCUUGAGAGGAUCCUCAAGCCGUAACCCCAAGGAGGAUGAGAAGAACCACCCUAAGUACGUAGUCCCUCGAGUCACAGAAGUUCGAGCGUGCGAGUGGCCAAGUGAUGAAUUUUUGCGCGCCGCCGGACUUUAUGAAGACUUUUAUUACUUGGUGGAGAACGCAGGUCUUACUGCGUUCGUUGAAGAUAAGUGCCCACAAUAUCUCCUCCUCACCAAUAUUAUCGUUCAAAGCUUCAACUUUUAUCCGAGGAAGAAUCCUCCCAUGGUUGAGUUCAUGAUAUACGAUGUCCCCUAGUGCAUGACGUUGCAGGAUUUUUGCAAUGUAUGCAAAUUACCUUAUGUUGGGGAUAUCUAUGACCCUCGUCCACGGGACUUAGGGGAUUUCAUUUGUUCUAUUGCUGUUGGAGAGGAGAGAGGAGUGUCUCGCGCUAGAAUUGCUAGCAUACAUUUUCCUGUGCUUCGGUACUUCUCACUAUUUGUGGGAAAAUGUUUGAUUGGCCGUGGGGAGGCUGGAUCACUUAGUUUUCCAGACCUUGCGGUUCUGCACGAAGGCCUUUAUAACGAUAAGACUUAUAGCUUGGGCGCUAUAGUUGCUCAACGGUUGAACCUGAACCAUUCCAAGGGUGUUGUCUAUGGAGGUAUCUACACUACCCGUAUUGCCAGACACUUUGAGAUACCCAUUAGACUGGGAGAGGAAGGAGAGAUGCUUCACCCUGAGAGAUAUCUGGAUUAUGACAGCACGGUUCGCCAUGAUUUUCUGGAUAGAGAUGCUAGUAGACGGAUGAUUUAUAACCUGGUAUUUAGUCAGGGUACUCGAGAGACUAUUACUUUGCCUGCUCCUUCUUUGUUUGAUUUUCAUGCAGGUAGGUACACUAUUAUGCCCGCGGACAUCUACGCAUAUUUGGGCUUGGCCCAACCACAGGCGCCCGCGCCCGAGACGCCAGUCGAGUAUCAGACGCCAGUUUAUCACUGGGAGCCAGAGGAGCUCACACAGAAGUGGCAUCCACAGUCUGCUCUGGAGUGUCCUGGAGCUGGUUAUUUCCCACCUUGGGAGUAGACCAAGCUAGGCCAAAAGCCUAAGCUUGGGGGAGUACGUGUUCUCACCGACUUUCCAUUCAUGCUUAUGCUUUCAUUUUGUUAGCCGGUGUUUACACUUUUCCAUUGUAUUAUCCAUGCUAGUUAUUUUCGUUUUCUUGUUUUCUUGUUUUGUGUCCUUUUGAGAAAACCCAAAAAUAUUUUUCUUUCUUCUUUUGCUUGUUGGGAGCUUUCCCGUGUAAAUAGCUUUAUUUUUCUUUGUGUCAAGGUAGAAGAUACUGGUUACAAUGUUUAUUGGUUCUUGCAUGCUUACCUGUUUAGCUUUCAAAGAGCCAUACUAUUUUGUCUUCUCCUUUGUGUUUUCCUGUAGAUUCAGCUUAGUCCAAUGCGCUUAUUAUCGUUUUCAUCGUUCGAUCGUGCAAAUGAAAGGCAACAAUGAUGAUAUCUGAUGAAGUGACUGAGACUGAAAAGCUCGUAUGAACUCUAUCUAUUUUGUUUUUGUAAAUAUGACUAGCUUGUCAACCCAGAUUUAACUUUGUUGUGAGAGAACCAUAUUUGCAAUGACAACUUAGAGAUCAUAGUUUCUGAUGCCAUGCUUAUUUAGCUGAGAGCUUAUAAUGGUUUGUCUUGAUUGCCAACAUAGAUUUUGAGAUGACUAUGAUGUAGUAUGAUAGGAUGGUAUUCUCCUUUGAAUGUUUCAAGUGGCUUGACUUGGCGCAUGUUCAUGCAUGUAGUUGAAACAAAAUCAACAUAGCCUCUAUGAUGUUCGUGUUCAUGGUGAUUUAUAUCCUGUUCAUGCUUGCAUUCAAUGUUAGUCAAACUCAUUGCAUCUUGAUGACUGUUGUCGCUCUCUAGUUCGUCGCUUCCCAAUCUUUUGCUAGUCUUCACUUGUACUAAGCGGGAAUACUACUUGUGCAUCCACCUCCAUAAACCCAAAAGUUUUUCCAUGAGAGUCCACCAUACCUACCUAUUUGCGGUAUCUACCUGCCGUUCCAAGUAAAUUUGCAUGUGCCAUUAACUAAACCUUCAAGAAAUAAAUAUGUUUUGCAUGCCCGAACCGCUCAUGUGGUGACAGAGGGCUAUUGGUAUCUUCCAUGCUAGGAGUGUUAUCCUCGACAUGUGUUUAUUCACAGUCAUUUAUGAGAAAGGGGCUGGUAAUUGGAAUGCCUAGUUCCACGCUUAAAUCGAAAACAUAACUGUAAAACAAGACUCCCCCCCGGAUUGAUGUUAGUAUGGACGGUACCUGAGGUUUCGGCUAGCCGUGGAGUGUGAUUGAUUGGUGGUGGUGGAGUUAAAACUUUACUUUUCUGUUUGGGAACCGCCUAUAGCAUGAGUAGCAUGGAAGAUAUUGAGAACUCUUGGUCAUUGCGUUGACAAUGAAAGUAUGCCACCCAAAAUUAUUAUCUCUGUUUUCAAAGCUUGAGCUCUGGCACGUCUGCAAAUCAAUGCUUCCCUCUGCAAAGGGCAUGUCUAUUUAUUUUCCUAUCGAGUCAUCCUCCUCUUUUAUAAGCACCAAUUAGAGAGCACCUCUGUCAUUUUUAUGCUUUGCUUUUGAUUGAUAUUGAGUAUGACUAUGACUGGAUCUUCGUUGCUAUGCAUUUAUGUUUUGUGGUCUCAGAAAGAGCUAGCGAGAUACCACAUAUUCAUAUUGCUUCAUGCUUGCUUUCAUUGAAGUGUUGGUAUUUGAAACUCGUUAUUAUUUGCUCGUUAGCUGAUUAUGCCAUUGAUAUUAGUUUACCGUGAGACCUUUGUGUCAUUUGCUUAUGUGGUUAACUUGUGAUCUUGCUGAAAUUCUGGUUAUGAGUUAGACAUAGUUGCAACAACAAGAUCAAACAGAGUUUGUCAAAGUUUUUCUUUCUCUCUCAGUUUGUCAACUGAGUUGCUUGAGGACAAGCAAGGUUUUAAGCUUGGGGAGUUGAUACGUCUCAAACGUAUCUAAUUUUCCAAACUCUUUUGCCCUUGUUUUGGACUAUAAUUUGCAUGAUUUGAAUGGAACUAACGUGGACUAACGUUGUUUUCAGCAGAAUUGCCUUGGUGUUAUUUUUGUGGAGAAAUCAAAGUUCUCCAAACGUCCUGAAAAUUUACGGGGACCAGUUUUGGAAAAUAUCAAAAAUACCUGCGCCAGGAUCCACCUGAGGGGGUGGGCCAGUGGGCCACAAGCCCCUGUUCCACCACCACCACCCUGGUGGCGGUCGGCUGGCUUGUGGGGCCCACAGGCACCUGUCGCCCCCAAUUCCAGCUCUAUAAGUUGUCUUUCGUCCCAGAAAAAAUAAAAAAGAGAAGUUUUCGUCGCGUUUUCGAUACUGAGGCGCCGCCACCACCUGUUCUUCAUCUGGAGGGCAGAUCUGGAGUCCGUCUUGGGCUCCGGAGAGGGGAAAUCAUCGCCAUCGUCAUCAUCAACCUUCUUCCCUCUCCAAUUCCAUGAAGCUCUUCGUCAUUCGUGAGUAAUCUAUUCGUAGGCUCGCUGGACGGUGAUGAGUAGGAUGAGAUCUAUCAUGUAAUCGAGUUAGUUUUGAUGGGGAUUGUUCCCUAGUAUCCACUAUGUUCUCAGAUUUGAUGUUGCUACUACUUUGCCAUGCUUAAUGCUUGUCACUAGGGCCCGAGUGCCAUGAUUUCACAUCUGAAAUUAUUAUGUUGUCACCUAUACAUGUGUGUUUUAGCUCCGAUCUUGCAAGUUGUAGUUACCUACUAUGUGUUAUGAUCCGGCAACCCCGGAGUGACAAUAACCGGAACCAGUCCCGGUGCUGACCAUAGUUUGAGGAGUUCAUGUGUUCACUAAGUGCUAAUGCGUUGGUCCGGUUCUUUAUUACAUGGAGAACCUUAAUAUUCUGUAGUUUCCUUUUGGACCCCGCUGCCACGGGAGGGAUGGACAAUAGAUGUCAUGCAAGUUCUUUUCCCUAAGCACGUAUGACGACACACGGAAUACAUGCCUACAUCACAUUGACGAACGGGAGCUAGCCACAUAUCUCUCCGUGUUAUAGCUGUUGCAUGAUGAAUAUCAUCCAAACAAAUCACCGACCCAAUGCCUACGAGUUUGUCCUACUGUUGCUACUGCCGUUACUUGUCUUGCUCUGCUGGUAUAGUGUUGCUACUGCCGUUACUUGUCUUGCUCUGCUGCUACUACUGUUGCUACUGUUGUUACUUGUCUUGCUCUGCUGCUACUACUAUUGUUGCUACUGAUAUUACUUGCUUUGCUCUGCUGCUACUGUUGGUACUACUGUCGCUUGCUACUGUUGCUACUUGCUACUGCUGUCGCUACUAUUGUUCCUUGCCACUGCUAUUGCUCGUUACACUGCCGAUACCCGCUACUUCGCUGUUACUAUUGUGCUUGCAGAUACUAAUCUUUCACGUGUGGUUGAAUCUGACAAAUUCAGCUGCUAAUACUUGAGAGUAUACUCUCACCUCCUAACUGGCGUACCUACAAAUUGGGUCGAAUACUCUACCCUCGAAAACUGCUGCGUACCCACGCGCUGGUGGCCCAUCAACAACAUUCUUCAGUUUCAUUGCCGGGGAGUGCUAUCAGCAUUCUUCUGGUGUCGUUGCAGGAGAAGGUUAGUUGUUAUAAGCAUUCGUCUAGCUAACACUAGAGAUUGCAGGAUCAACACUUUUCUGGAGCCCUUGCCAGAGAAGCACAGCUGACGUCAACCCUCACGAUACAAACGUUCGUGAAUCAUUCUACCGCCUCUAGUGACGACUCUGAUAGAAUUGUCAUUCAGCUCAUUGAGCAAGUCAUUCUGAGCCUUAAGUACUUGUUCUACUUGAGUAGUAAUCAUAGAGGCAUGUUUACUCAAAAGCUUAAGAUCAUUGACGUUUCUGUCCACACAAGCACUUAAAUGACUAAGCAUACGAGCAUUUUGUUCCAAUUGUCUACUAACAUAAUCAUUGAAACUCUAUUGUUUGGCAACAAAGUUAUCAAAUUCAGCUAGACAUAAGCUAGCAGGUUUAUCAAAAGGAAUAUCACUCUCAUCAAAUCUACGAAGAGAAUUUACUACUACUACCUGUAUCGGAUUAUCGAGACCAUGGAUCUCUUCGAUAGGUGGUAGAUUUUUGACAUCUUCAGAUUUAAUGCCUUUCUCUUUCAUAGAUUUCUUAGCUUCUUGCAUAUCUUCAGGACUAAGGAAUAGAAUACCUCUUUUCUUUGGAGUUGUCUUAGGAGGUGGUUCGGGAAUAGUCCAAGCAUUCUCAUUGCACAAGAUAUUAUUCAAUAGAAUCUCAGCUUGUUCUACAGUUCGUUCCCUAAAAACACAAUCGUCACAACUAUCUAGGUGGUCUCUAGAAGCAUCGGUAAGUCCAUUAUAGAAGAUAUCAAGUAUUUCAUUCUUCUCAAGAGGGUGAUCAGGCAAAGCAUUCGGUAGCUGGACGAGCCUCCCCCAAGCUUGUGGGAGACUCUCUUCUUCAACUUGUGCAAAGUUGUAUAUUUCCUGCAAGGCAGCUUGCUUCUUAUGGGCAGGGAAAUAUUUUUCAGAGAAGUAAUAGACCAUAUCCUGGGGGCUACGCACACAACCAGGAUUAAGAGAAGUGAACCAGGUCUUAGCAUCAUCCUUUAGCGAGAAAGGAAACAGCUUGAGGAUAUAGUAGUGGCGGAUCUUUUCCUCACUAGUGAAUAGGGUGGCUAUAUCGUGUAGUUUGGUAAGAUGGGCUACAACCGUUUCAGACUCAUAACCGUGAAAAGUAUCAGAUUCGACCAGAGUGAUUAACUCAGGGUCGACAGAGAAUUCAUAAUCCUUAUUGGUCACAAAGAUAGGCGAAGUAGCAAACUUUGGGUCGUAUUUCAUCCUAGCGUUCAGAGAUUUUUCUUUCCACUUGCACAGUAAAUUCUCAACAUCAUAGCUAUCCUUACACGCAAGAAAAUCCUCAGCUAUCUCUCCCUCCAUAACAUAACACCCAGGCAUAUCAGGCAAUUCAUGUCUAGGAGAGCUAGUUCUAGCAGGCAAAAUAGCAGGUUCUACUUCAAUAGUAUCAGCAGUUUCGGAAGUAUCAUCACAUCUAGCAGCAACUCUAGCAAUUUGUGCACCAAGGAAUGCACCUAGUGGCAAAGCAGUAUCAAGCAUAUCAUCAUCAGACAAAGGAGUAUGAAGCAUAGCAUCAUCAGGCAAAGCAGUAUCAAGCAUAGCAUCAUCAUGCAAAGCAGUAUCAAGCAUAGCAUCAUCACGCAAAGGAGUAUCAAGCAUAGCAUCAUCAGGCAAAGCAGUAUCAAGCAUAGCAUCAUCAUAAGCAUCAUGGGCAGCAGAAGUAGCAUCAUCAAGCACAGGCGACAUAUCAAGAUUUCUAGCAGGAGGUGGUGUCGCAAACUUACUCAUAACUGAAGGUGAAUCAAGUGCAAAGCUAGAUGGCAGUUCCUUACCUGUCCUCGUAGUUGAGGGCAAGACUUUAUUUAUUGGAUCUUUCGAAUUCCUCAUAGUGACCAGCUGACGUAAAUCCCAAGUGACUCAGAGAAUAGAGUUGUGCUUCCCCGGCAACGGCGCCAGAAAAAGGUCUGGAUAACCCACAAGUAUAGGGUAUCGCAACAAUUUUCGAGGGUAGAGUAUUCAACCCAAAUUUAUUGAUUCGACUCAAGGGGAAGCCAAAGAAUAUUCUCAAGUAUUAGCAGUUGAGUUGUCAAUUCAACCACACAUGAAAGAUUUACUAUCUGCAGCAAAGUAUCAGUAGCAAAGUAGGGUGAUAGCAGCAGUAGCAACAGUAACCAGUAGCAGCAGUGACAACAGUAGCAACAGAGUAACAGUAGCAGCAGUGACAGCAGUAGCGGCAAAGUAACGUAGCAAGGACCAGUAGUAAGAGACUCGUAGGCAUUGGAUCGAUGAUGGAUGAUUAUGCCGGAUGCUAUUCAUCAUGCAACAGUUAUAACACUGAGAGAUAUGUAACUAGCUCCAGUUCGUCAAUGUAAUGUAGGCAUGUAUUCCGUAUGUAGUCAUACGUGCUUAGGGAAAAGAACUUGCAUGACAUUUAUUGUCCAUCCCUCCCGUGGCAGCGGGGUCCUAAUGGAAACUACGGGAUAUUAAGGUUCUCCUUUUAAUAAAGAUCCAAACCAACGCAUUAACACUUGGUGAAUACAUGAACUCCUCAUACUAUGGUCAUCUCCGGGAGUGGUUCCGGCUAUUGUCACUCCGGGGUUGCCGGGUCAUAACACAUAGUAGGUGACUACAACUUGCAAGAUAGGAUCAAGAACACACAUAUAUUGUCAACAACAUAAUAGGUUCAGAUCUGAAAUCAUGGCACUCGGGCCCUAGUGACAAGCAUUAAGCAUGGCAAAGUAGUAGCAACAUCAAUCUCAGAACAUAGUGGAUACUAGGGAUCAAUCCUCAUCAAAACUAACUCAAUUACAUGAUAGAUCUCAUCCAACCCAUCACCGUCCAGCAAGCCUACGAUGAGAUUACUCACGAACGGUGAAGAGCAUCAUGGAAUUGGCGAUGAAGGAAGGUUGAUGAUGAUGAUGGCGACGAUUUCCCCUCUCCGGAGCCCAAAACGGACUCCAGAUUUGCCCUCCAGAUGAAGAACGGGAGGUGGCGGCGCCUCCGUAUUGUAAAACGCGAUGAACUCUUCUCCUUGAUUUUUUCUGGGCGAAACGGACUAAAUAGAGCUGGAUUUGGAGGUGGUGGAGUUUUGUGGGGCCAACAAGCCUGCCAGGCGCGGCCAGGGGGGCGUGCCUGCUGGGCUUGUGGGCUCCACGCUCCACUUCCUCCGCUGAUUCUUGCGCCAGUAUUUUUUAUAUAUUCCACAAAAAAUUUCCGUAAAUUUUCAGGUCAUUCCGAGAACUUUUAUUUCUACGCAAAAACAACACCAUGGCAAUUCUGCUGAAAACAACGUUAGUCCGGGUUAGUUCCAUUCAAAUCAUGCAAAUUAGAGUCCAAAACAAGGGCAAAAAAGUUCGGAAAAGUAGAUACGACGGAGACGUAUCAAUAUGUCAUGUGUACGUGUGAUGCACUAUGAUAUGUAUGGGAUUCGACUCCUAGUCGUAUGCCCUUACUAGCUCUCUAUACAGAGAAAUGCCCCUUUGUGCUUCCAACGAGCCUUGGUAGUUCGCUACUGCUUUGGACACAUUGGUUGACCAGCAUGUAUCCUUCGUAGUUGUUGUGUCUGUCCCUAUGGGGAAAUUUCAUGCGGUGUAAUGUAGUCCUUAUAGCUUGCUACGACUCGUCUACACUCGUUGAUGACCGACACCUGCUUUACUUGGUUAUGUAUGUCUGUCUCUGUACACUUGAGCCACUUGAGUUUAUGACUAGAUAUGUCGACCCGGGUUCUUUGACGUUGGAAUGCUAGCGACACAAAUGCAUACGUGAGUCAAAAGGUGCAAACGGUCUCGGCUAAGGUAAGGUGGCAACCGUGGGGUUAACCGUGCGUGAGACCGCAAAGGGAUGCGAUGUGUUACAGACUGGAUUCCUAUGGCUUAGGAUCGGGGUCCCGACAGAUUAUGAGCAUACAAAACUCCCAAAUGGUGCUCAUGCUUCCUCAAGCUGCAUGUGUAUGAUGCUGGCCAUAGAUUCUCAUCAUAAACUUUGCCUUUGAAUUUAUUUUUAAAAUUCUACGCUAGGUGUCGCAUACAUUCCCUAUGUUCCACUCCACGGGAUACAAUUUCUACUGCAGUUUCUAAACCCUUGCAAGUAUCUGUGUGUAUAACUAAACCUGAGGGUGUACCUAUAAUGUUGCGCAAUUGCUGCAGAAACCAGACCCAACUCUCCUCACUCUCUACCUCCAACACACCAAAUGCAACUGGGAAUAUCCAAUUGUGUCCAUCAACUGCAGAAGCUGCUGCUAGCUGGCCUCUCCAUGUUCCAUUCAAAGCAGUCGCAUCGACAGCCAAAUAGGGCCUACAACCAUUCAUAAACCCCUUCCAGCAAGCCUUGAAACAAACAAAAGCCCUCCUGAAGCACUCCUUCUCCAUUGUCUUCCCUUUUAAUUUGUACUUAACUGUAUGUUUGUCAAUCUCUACAACACUACAUGGACUACUCGUCUCCACUUUAGCUUUGAAGGUGUAAAGCAACUGAAAACUCUCAUUCCAUGGACCAUUAAUCCUAUCAAGAGCCAUUUCCUUAGCAUAGAAAAUCUUCAUGUAUUGUACAUUAAUCUUGUACUUCUCAAAUAGCUUCCCAUGGAGUGUUGUUGGACCAAAUGUUGGUGUUUCCCUCACCCAAUCCAAGAUUGCAUCUGCCACCCACCUAGUCUUUGCAAGCUUAGAUUUGUCCUUUCCCCCUCCCCCUCCAGGUGGGCAAGUGUGCCCGUGUGGGUUGCGUUUUUAUCUGAAACAAAAUGAAAAAAUGAUGUCAAAUACAAUUAAGAAAUAGUACAAUUAAUAUUCAGUUGUAAUACCUGAAUCAAUUUGCUCUUUCGCAUAGUGGAUGCAUGCAACCCCCACCUACACCUAUCAUAAGGGCAAUGAACAAUGAAUCUUCCUGGCUCACUCCUAUCAACCUCAUAAGAGUUUUCAGUGACAAUGCAAUAUGUAGUCACUGCAUUACGACAGUCCACCAUCGAUUCGAAUACGGUUCCUGGAGUAAGGUCAGGAUUCUCCCUGUUCCACUCAAUUGUUGGCAUGUCCUCACCAUCAUAUUCUUGUAAAACUAAGCAGUCGAUGUUCUCCUCCCUCUCUUCAUCAUGAGUGUCAUCAAAUCUAGCACGACUGCCAGGCUCCUCUGCAUAUUCAUCUUCCACUGCCUGUUGACUGACUCUAUCUACCAGUUCAGGGAAUAGAAUCUCAUCCUCAUCAUCAUGUCGAGGCACUUCCUCAUCAGGCUUCGCAUCUACUUCUACAUCAGGUGCGGAAGGAAGAGGAGAAGUGGCAUAAUUAGCGGCAACCGACAUGUUGUGGCUUUCAGAACCACUAGGUUUACUUGGUCUCGACCUACAAGGAGUGCGAGGACGCUCGCUAUUAGCAGAGACAGAUGAUGUCUGAACACCCUUCCGGAUGCGUUCUUUACAUGCCUGAAGCACACCGAUAUGGAUUUUACCAAAACGGUUGUUAGCAUUCAAACUAAAUAGCAAUCCCAGAUUCUCAUCACAAGUUAAUGGGAGAAAUCUCUACUCGGUACUGUCGAAAUAUCUCAGUUCAACAACAUCGGCAGGGCUCCACGGAUACUCACAACAGAGUGCCUCGCGGAAAUAUCUGAAUGAAACGGUGGUUUCUACCACUUUAGUAUAGAAAAAUCCAGAAAUCUCAUACGGUUUAGUUCCACGCAGCUCGCUAGUUUCCAUUCUAACCACCAUCCGAAAAGCAAGUGCAUGAUCAACCCUAUUCGUUUGAAAUAAGAUAAAGGGUGCAGUUAGGCCUAAAUUUUUCAGAUAAGUUGCGCUGAUUCACGCCAGCGGUGGUCAAAUACAGCCUAAUUUACGGAUCUCCUAAUCAAUUUGAGAGGACAACGAUGCUUACCCAGGUGGAAUCCAUGAAUUAUCAGCCUCUGAUUCGACCGAAUCAUCUCCACGGUCGAUGGGCCGGACGGGGUGCCCCCCGACAUCGCUUCCUAAUCCUAGCUGGGGAGAGAGGGUAGAUGCGGCAGAGGCGGCACGACUGCGGCGGAGGCGACAAGAGUGCGGCGGAGGCGGCACGACGGCGGCGGAGGGGGCGGCGCGGAAGCGACUGGAUCUGAUUCAGGUGAGUGUCAGUUUCGCGGCCACACUGGGUACCAUGUAACGGACAAAAUGUGUACUCCGCCCUAUGCGGCCCCACUAGUCAGAGUUAACGGUCAAGCCAUUGACCCGACGACAACGCCCGCUGUGACCAGUUCUGAAGGUUUCGGGCAAGGGAGUGGGGAAAAGUGAGCAAAAGUUAAGAGCGCGGGGAUGAACGAGUAGAACUAACGAACCAGGGGCACAGAAAUAAAAAUCCCUACAAUAAAAUAAGACCACGACCUUCAACUUUCAACCCAUUCCGAGAAAGUUUAUUACCAUUUUUAAGUGGCUUGCGAGAGGGAUUAAUCAUAAGAGUGUAUUUGUCUUAGCCUAGACGGUGCACUAGUUAAGAUCCACCCACAUAACACUUAUCAAUACAAAACAUAGUACUAGAGAGAGUAUGGCGAAAGCACUUGACUAUCUCUCCCGUGUGUCCUCAGGAACGCCUUAGUCUUUAUAAGUUUAGUCCCUUGGCUUAUCCUUUGCUUUCAAAAGGAUUGGGACACUUGUUGCACCUCGACACGACUUACUUUACUUGCAUUUAUUUCUUUGUUGCUUAUACUAGAAAACCCAUAAAAACUUACCUUUUAGUACUUGCAGUUAUUCCUUGCUCAAGAUCACUUGUCAAUACCUUCUGCUCCUCGUUGGGUCCGACACUCUUACUUAUCGAAAAGGCUACGAUAGGUCCCCUACACUUGUGGCUCAUCAAUAUGUGCAUUAAAUUUAAAUAGCAAGAAUAAUGUGAUAUCCCAAGAUAUCCAUGUCCCAUCAUGGAACAAACUACACCUUCAACUAGCAAUGUUAUGAGGAGCUGAGUAAGCAGUAAUUUAGCCAAACAAUGGUUUGUUGGGAGGUGGAGGGUGUCACGCCCAAGAUGCGACCCUAUCCUCAAUUUGGCAUGAAGGCCUCGUCAGGGAUAGAAGCGCAUCUCGUCGUGUCGCAAGAAUGGAUAUCGUCACAAGUACAUGUACUGAAAAGAAUAGAUAUAUAUAUACAGAGUUGGCUUACACUCGCCACAAGCUACAUCAGAGUCACAUCAGUACAUUACAUAAUCAUCAAGGGUAAGAGCAGGGUCCGACUACGGACGAAAACAAACGAGAAAAAUAAGAACGACGUUCAUCCUUGCUAUCCCAGGCUGCCGGCCUGGAACCCAUCCUAGAUCGAUGAUGAAGAAGAAGAAGAAGCAACUCCAAAUGUACAAUCAACGCGCUUGCGUCAAGUAACCUUUACAUGUACCUACAACUGGUGUUGUAGUAAUCUGUGAGCCACAGGGGACUCAACAAUCUCAUUUCCAAAGGUAUCAAGACUAGCAAAGCUUAAUGGGUGAGGCAUGGUUAAGUGGUGAGGUUGCAGCAGCGGCUAAGCAUAUAUUUGGUGGCUAACUUACGAGUACCAGAAAUAAGAGGGGGAAGGUCUACGCAUAACGGACGUGAACUACUCAUGAUCAAAUGAAUGAUCCUGAACACCUACCUACGUCAGACAUAACCCCACCGUGUCCUCGAUCGGAGAAAGAACUCACGAAAGAGUCAGUCACGGUUACGCACGCAGUUGGCAUAUUUUAAUUAAGUUAACUUCAAGUUAUCUAGAACCAGUGUUAAACAAAGCUUCCACGUUGCCACAUAACCGCGGGCACGGCUUUCCGAAAGAUUUAACCCUGCAGGGGUGCUCCAACUAGUCCAUCACAAAUUACCACAAGCCGCAUAGAAAUCCUCAAUCACGAAGCUCGCGAUCUCGUCGGAUUCCCUAGUGGAAAACCUUAACUCUGAGAUUACGCAAAGCAUCACCGGAAUCCCGAUGCACAAGAUAUCUCGUCAAAGGUAAAACUAAUCCAGCAAGGCCUCCCGACGUGUCGACGAUCCCGAUAGGAGUCGCGUACCUCGUUCUCAGGACACGACAGAUGAGCUAGACGUCGGGAUCGCUAAACCUCCGGGUGACCAGAGGGGCGCCGGACAUCGCUCAGGUGGGGCCAACACUCAUGAGGAGCACUAGCCCGGGGAUUGAUUAAAAUAGUCCGCGGGUGCCGGCGGGUCCCUAUGCAUUAUUAUUAGGUUAUUAGGCAAAUGUAGUACCAAAGUUGGGCCUUGCCAGACCAGCUUUAAUCUAAAACGAAUUAUCAAGGGGGUCCCCAUAACAACCCCGAUCGUGUUAGGAGCGCUCAUUUAUGGAACAUAACACCGGUAGCCGAAACUAAGGGGGCAAAGGUGGAACAAAACACCAGGCUAGAAAGGCCGAGCCUUCCACCUUUUACCAAGUAUAUAGGUGCAUUAAAUUAAAUAGCAUUUGAUAUGGUGAUAUGACAAGGGACCCAUGCUUUCACAUGGAAGCAACUACACCUGCAACUAGCAACGCUAACACAGGGUUAAGCAAGCGGUAACAUAGCCAAUCAGUGGUUUGCUAGGUUGAACAGGUUGAAGGUUUUCAUGGCAUUGUUGAGAGGCUGAUAUUUAACAUGUGGUAGGCAACGAGACAUAAACGAUAGAAGCGAUAAAACUAGCAUGUCAAUGAUAGUAAUGGUAUCUGGGGAAAUGGUCAUCUUGCCUGAGAUACCGCUUGGAAGAAGAAUGCCUCCGUGAAGCAGACAAACCGACGUAGUCGAACAGGUCCUCACAAUCUGGCACGCUUGCGGGACUCUAUCGAGACGGGGAAAACCGGAAACAAGCAUCAACACCCGAAAUUCACCACACGAUACACAACACAUAUGAUGCAUGAGCAGCUGAAUACAUGCAAGUCACGGCAUGACAAUUCACACAAUCAAACACUACACAUUAAGUGAAGUUCAAUAUGCAACGAGAUGCAUAUUGACGAAACUCCACGUUUAUGUAUUUAGUUCCAUCCCGAGUAGAUACACGGCAAUAUUAAAUGUGAUUAAACAUGGCAAGGGGUGAAGCGCAAUUAAUCUACCUAUCUAGGCAUUUUAAAUGAGGUCGGAAACGACAUAUAGCAUCUCCGAAAUGACCCCACGUGUUAAAUCUUAAUUCUGUCCAGAUUUGUCCUAAUCACAUUUUAUGUUUGUUAAACGGAGAAACAAAGUGGAACACGUGAUUCUACUCGUCGUUCUGGUCCAUUUACAUAUAUGACACAACGCCAACGGAGCCACGGACAAAUAGUUACGACCUAAACCGUUUUCAACACGUCGACAUGCAAAUCGAAGCAAACAACACACCUAACAAAUUUUAAUAUGCAUGAGAGUUGGUUUUUGUGAAACUACAGAAAAUUCUAAGCAACUUACAUGUUGAAAUCAUUUUAAUCCGGUGCACGGUUAAAUUUAUACGAAUUUUACAAAAGGGCAUUUGAAUCUGUCCAAAAUAAAAAAAUGUAAUUGCUAGGAUUUGAACCCCAGAUCCCUUGGAUGGACAUUAAUAGCCCUACCACCAGACUAAUAAAGUGGUUGUGUCACAAUCGACAAAACAGCACAUCAAAAAGUAUGAUAGAAGCUGUUGCGCUGGAGGCAAAAUUCCUAAAAAUAUAAUAUGCACUGCUAGGGAUUUGAUCCCUGGACCCCAUGGCAAAACUAGCUAGCGCUAACCGCUACGCUAACACAUAUGAUUUGUACUAGAACCAGAAUGGAUACUCUAAAUAGCGUGGGUAUUCCUCCUGACGGAUCUAGAAAAUAAAGGAGAUCAGAUCGGGAAGAGCUGCUCACAGGGGGGAAAGGAUGAAGUCAGCGAUGAGAUCCGCCCGACCUGGUGCAAGUCCGCGACGAACAAGGUGCUCCGGCGUCGGCUCCGGUGACUGGGGCUCCAUUCCUCGCGACGGGAGCUCGAUCCGACGCACGAGCACAUGGGAGAGGUCCAACUCAUGCUUGCUAACAACCAUGUUCCUGAACCAGCGAGAGAAAGAAUUCAGAGGAAGAGAGAGACUCGAGGGGAGAGAGGGAAGAGGGAAGGAAGAAGGAGCAGGGCCAGCGGGUUGACCCAAGUGGUCGACUGCGGGGGGGCUUCGUUCUGCUGCUGCUUGGGGAGCCACACGGGACUCAUCCAUGGUGUUGCAGAAGUCUGAAAAUAGAACAAGAGAAGAGAGAAUUCAGAGAGAGGGAAAUAGAGGAGAGGGAGGAAGAAGAGAGGCAAGGGGAGGCGUGGCUCUGCUCACCGGCAGAAGGACGAGGGACCUCCGGGCACGGGUGCUUCAGUGCAACGCGCAGGAGGCACAAGUGAGCUCCUGCUUGAGUGGAUGCGCAGGUAGCAGACGAAAGGUUAGCGGCGUUGCGGGCGAGCGCUCUGGUUGGCCCGGUGGGGAAAAUGAGGUGGCUGGCGGCGGCGAGUAAACAGGGGUAGGAUCCCUAAAAACUAGGUUUUGGUCUGAUUGGACUGGAUGGACCUAUAUAUAGGGAAACAAAACUAGCUCAAGACCUUCCGAUCAUAAUCGAACGGUCGCGGAUAAAUAGGUUAGGGUUUCAAUGAACAAACCGAUGACGGUUUGCGGUUAAACGGGGUUGAUCCGGACCCAACGAUCACGACCGCCGGGUUCGGGUUCCGGGAGGUUUUCGGACUGGGCUGCGCGUAGGGUCAAUGCACUGUGCAGAGGGGCUAGGCAUAGAAGAGGGGGGAAACGGGCAACCCGGUGACAGAGUUUAAAAUACCGAAACGUCCGACAAUUGACCUACUAUAGUGCCGCUAUAUAAUAAACGACACGGGUAACAAACGAGCUCCGAUCGCGAUGAAAUUUGACAGACGACCUACCUACACUAAAUUAAAACCGUAGGCAAGUUCCAGCUCAAUCCGAGAAAGUUUAACACACACUUUUGCAAAUAGGGUUACGACGAUGCCGCGGGCGCGUGCGUGUGCGGUCGGGCUCAGAACGGACAACGACGAGAUCUAGCAACUAACAACGGAUGCAAGUUUGAAAACUGGCGGCAACGGAGAUGCCGAUGCAAUGCUGAUGAUGCGCAUGAUGCGAUGAUGAUGCGACAAAAGAAAAUAGACACACGACGAAAACGGAAAGAAAAGGGUAAUCUUCUGGAACGCCGGCAUCAGGCUGUCACAACUCUCCUACACUACAAGAGGAUCUCGCCCCGAGAUCCAAGAAUGAAAGGGGGAAGAGGAUGAGAAAGAACAAGAGGUAGAACUUAGUCGCUUCUUUGACAAACGAGUGAAAGCAACGAUCCUUGAAGGUUGCAAAGCGAUGAGGAAUGAUAUGAGAAAGAAGCAAGAAUUCACUGAAAAUUUUGUCAGCACUUCGGUAGGAAAAUGGGACAAAAAAAUUCGAUAAGAUGGUAGAAUUAGAUAAUAUUCACAACAAACAAGUAAAUAGAACAAGGGAACACCAUUAUCUUGAAAGAACAGCAUAAUAGACCCAAAAGAGCAACAUCACAAUGCCUUCGGAACAAUAGAAUAGGAACUAGCUCAUACGGAAGAAGAGAAUGAAGAGAGCAUGACAACUACUAACUCCUAUAAACUUGGCAAGCAUCCUUCCAAGAAUAAUUGAACGGAGUUGUUGGAAAAACAACAACGAAAAGAACAAGAUAGAAGUGGGCUUAUGAAAAUCAUCUCAAUAUCUAUGAGGUGACAACCAACCACUAAAAGAAACAAGGAUAGUUGAAAGCAAAGAUAUCAAAACUUCUUACACCAAGAGGGUACAUUAAGAACUGGGAUUAAUGACAAGCACCAUGAUAGCACAAUCCAUAGGAAAAGCUUUAGGUGAAAACUAAGCCAAGAUAGCUCAAUGAAGAAAUGAUGGGUUGCAAAUAUCUCAUGAUCAUAGAAUUGGUGGAUUUAUUUGUAUCAUUCUUGAAAGGAAAAACUCUUCGAGGCUCCUACACUAAAAAGAAUGCUAUAAUACCACCUCAAAGGAUAAAGGAAGAACUAAUGCACUGAAAUGCAAGGGAAAGAAUGCUUGAGGUACUCCAACAAGAAUCUUGAAGAACACUUGAGAAUGGAUUGAAACCUUGAUGAACCACCAUGAAGGACCUCCAUAUACAAAUGAAUGAUGCAAAGAUAUGAAGGAUGAAAGAAUAAGAUUGAAGCCUUGCGAAGAGUUCGAUGAAGCUUCACGAUGAGACACUUGAGAAAACUUGGAACUCCGGAAAAGAAAAGAUAAUAACACUUGAGAAAAGAAUUGAUAUCGUGAGCCACUCCGGAAGAAGAAUUCAGAUUACUAUGCACAAGAAUAAGAAUUAUGUUAUGCUAGUCCUUCAUCAAGUUUAAUUGAUGACAAGCAAGGAAUUAGCAUAUGACUUAAUCUUAUAGAAAUGAAUCUUGGAGGGACAGAGAGAAAAACACCACUUGAGGCAUAAUUGAAGGAAGCACCGGUAAGAAUUCACAAUUGAAUGGGAAAACCAAGAAUUAAUGGAGAUACAUAGAAGAGAUCAUGAGCCACCUGAGAGAAAACUUGAACAAGGCACCGGAUAAUCGAGAGACGAACGAAGAGACAACAAUUGAAAAGAAUUGAGGAUGAAAGCUGAAAGUUGAGAACGAAGAAUCUUCUAAAAUGAUGGCCUUCGGAGGAACGAGAAUGAAAACAACUCAGAAAAGCACAGGAUAGCGAGAAAUGAAUUCUCAUGAUUGGAACAAAUUCAAGAUGAUAACAUGAAGCUGAAAUGACAAAUAUCCAAGAGAAUAGACCAAGAUUGAGAGAAACACUCCUUCGAAUUUUCAAUGGAGAGAAUGACGAGAAGAACAUCACCAAGAAUACCGAGGCACUCCGGAAUAAUGAAGAAUGAAAGGUUUAGCCAAAUAUGAGAAUUAAUUCAAAUAGGCCUUGGAGAAGGAAUAUGACUGAUGAAAUUCAUACUUACGUCAUAGUUGAAAAGAACAAGAUAACUCCGGAAAAAUUACAGAGCUAUAUAAGAUCCUGGGAAAAACCUAUGGGUUAUGGGCCCACUCAAAGAAACCACCGUUGAAAAGAUUGCUAGAAAGAGGGAUAUUGCACCGUACAAAGAAACUUGAUGAGGUUGAGCACCUCGAAAUAAUUGAAAGAAUUAAAAACAAGAAUCUACUGGAAUAUCUUUAACACUCCGGAUAGAAAAGAGAGGAAUGAAUAGCAAGAAGACUGAUAAGAAUUUCCAACAUGGGAAAGAAGUUUAAUGGUUGAAAAGGAUAUGAUGACCAUGGAUAACUGAGCUAAAUUCACCGGUAAGGAUGACAAGAAUGAACAAAUAUGACACGAAGCUCCUCAGAAUCUUCACAAUGAAUCACCAGAUAUGACACGGAAUAAAAGAUAGCUGAAGCAGCAAUGAAAAGAAAACUCUUGGAUGAAAAUCCAAUCACUGAAGAAAAGGGUGGGAGGGCGGGGAAAAAUAAAGACAACUUGGUACAGAUGAGAUGAACUCCAGAAAGAAUUGAGAGAAUGAUCUGCAACAAUUGGAGAGGAUUGAAUCCACUUGGAGAGAAACACACCGGUUAAAAAGGAAUUAACAUGGCGACUCCGGUUAACAAGAAUUGACAAGACAACUGAUUAAGCAAAAGAAUUGGCAUUCACAUAAAAAUAUGAGAACACCUCUUGGAAAAGAUCUGAAAUCACCACUUGACAUCGAAGCAACUUGAAUUACCAUAGUUCAACAAAACAAAGGGGUGAGGAUUUGUUGGAAGAUUGUCCUAUAAGUAACUACUUGAAUUCCCACCUAUGAAUUCCCGAAAUAUCUGGUCAUGCAAUCUGGUACACGGAUACAAGGAGUAUUUCACACAACUCCUAUACUAACCCGUCACCUGUAUCACAUCCAUCAACACACAACCAGAAUCUCGGACCUUCAUCUACAACAGACCCUCGUGAUCACAACAAUACAAGUAUGGCAGUACUCCCGAACAAUCUGCACCAGUACUGGGGACAUCGGGGUUAACUCGCCACUACUAGUAUUGAAGCAAUUACGAACAUCCUUCGUUCUGAGAUACUAAGAAAUCUGAAUGAUAACGAUGUGCUCAAGAAUCCCCUGGAGCUCAACUCCCCUGAGACUUAGAGCAGAUAGGAGGCACCAAGACAGAACUCCGUCACAUCGGCAUCAUAUAGAUCUCAAAAAUAUCCACGUGAUCCUAAAAAAAUUUUGAGUGAGAAGACGAGUAGAAUUAAAUUAUUACGUCAAGAUUCCUCACCAGAGCAUAGAAGAGGAGAAAAAAGAAUCCUACUCUCCGAUAUAUAACUAGACUCAAAGCAGUUUUUUCACUAGACUCGACUCGGCCAAGUUCGAUCAAUCAAGGGGGCGUCCUAGGUCGAUACUGCUCUGAUACCAACUUGUCACGCCCAAGAUGCGACCCUAUCCUCAAUUUGGCACGAAGGCCUCGUCAGGGAUAAAAGCGCAUCUCGUCGUGUCGCAAGAAUGGAUAUCGUCACAAGUACAUGUACUGAAAAGAAGAGAUAUAUAUACAGAGUUGGCUUACACUCGCCACAAGCUACAUCAGAGUCACAUCAGUACAUUACAUAAUCAUCAAGGGUAAGAGCAGGGUCCGACUACGGACGAAAACAAACGAGAAAAAUAAGAACGACGUCCAUCCUUGCUACCCACGCUGCCGGCCUGGAACCCAUCCUAGAUCGAUGAAGAAGAAGAAGAAGAAGCAACUCCAAAUGUACAAUCAACGCGCUCGCGUCAAGUAACCUUUACCUGUACCUACAACUGGUGUUGUAGUAAUCUGUGAGCCACAGGGGACUCAGCAAUAUCAUUUCCAAAGGUAUCAAGACUAGCAAAGCUUAAUGGGUGAGGCAUGGUUAAGUGGUGAGGUUGCAGCAGCGGCUAAGCAUAUAUUUGGUGGCUAACUUACGAGUACCAGAAAUAAGAGGGGGAAGGUCUACGCAUAACGGACGUGAACUACUCAUGAUCAAAUGAAUGAUCCUGAACACCUACCUACGUCAGACAUAACCCCAUCGUGUCCUCGAUCGGAGAAAGAACUCACGAAAGAGACAGUCACGGUUACGCACGCAGUUGUCAUAUUUUAAUUAAGUUAACUUCAAGUUAUCUAGAACCAGUGUUAAACAAAGCUUCCACGUUGCCACAUAACCGCGGGCACGGCUUUCCGAAAGAUUUAACCCUGCAGGGGUGCUCCAACUAGUCCAUCACAAAUUACCACAAGCCGCAUAGAAAUCCUCAAUCACGAAGCUCGCGAUCUCGUAAGAUUCCCUAGUGGAAAACCUCAACUCUGAGAUUACCCAAAGCAUCACCGGAAUCCCGAUGCAUAAGAUAUCUCGUCAAAGGUAAAACUAAUCCAGCAAGGCCGCCCGACGUGUCGACGAUCCCGAUAGGAGUCGCGUACCUCGUUCUCAGGACACGACGGAUGAGCUAGACAUCGGGAUCGCUAAACCUCCGGGUGACCAGAGGGGCGCCGGACAUCGCUCAGGUGGGGCCAACACUCAUGAGGAGCACUGGCCCGGGGGUUGAUUAAAAUAGUCCGCGGGUGCCGGCGGGUCCCUAUGCAUUAUUAUUAGGUUAUUAGGCAAAUGUAGUACCAAAGUUGGGCCUUGCCAGACCAGCUUUAAUCUAAAACGAAUUAUCAAGGGGGUCCCCAUAACAACCCCGAUCGUGUUAGGAGUGCUCAUUUAUGGAAUAUAACACAGGUAGCCGAAACUAAGGGGGCAAAGGUGGAACAAAACACCAGGCUAGAAAGGCCGAGCCUUCCACCUUUUACCAAGUAUAUAGGUGCAUUAAAUUAAAUAGCAUUUGAUAUGGUGAUAUGACAAGGAACCCAUGCUUUCACAUGGAAGCAACUGCACCUGCAACUAGCAAUGCUAACACAGGGUUAAGCAAGCGGUAACAUAGCCAAUCAGUGGUUUGCUAGGUUGAACAGGUUGAAGGUUUUCAUGGCAUUGUUGAGAGGCUGAUAUUUAACAUGUGGUAGGCAACGAGACAUAAACGAUAGAAGCGAUAAAACUAGCAUGUCAAUGAUAGUAAUGGUAUCUGGGUAAAUGGUCAUCUUGCCUGAGAUCCCGCUUGGAAGAAGAAUGCUUCCGUGAAGCAGACGAACCGACGUAGUCGAACGGGUCCUCACAAUCCGGCACGCUUGCGGGACUCUAUCGAGACGGGGAAAACCGGAAACAAGCAUCAACACCCAAAAUUCACCACACGAUGCACAACACAUAUGAUGCAUGAGCAGCUGAAUACAUGCAAGUCACGGCAUGACAAUUCACACAAUCAAACACUACACAUUAAGUGAAGUUCAAUAUGCAACGAGUUGCAUAUUGACGAAACUCCACGUUUAUUUAUUUAGUUCCAUCCCGAGUAGAUACACGGCAAUAUUAAAUGUGAUUAAACAUGGCAAGAGGUGAAGCGCAAUUAAUCUACCUAUCUAGGCAUUUUAAAUGAGGUCGGAAACGACAUAUAGCAUCUCCGAAAUGACCCCACGUGUUAAAUCUUAAUUCUGUCCAGAUUUGUCCUAAUCACAUUUUAUGUUUGUUAAACGGAGAAACAAAGUGGAACACGUGAUUCUACUCGUCGUUCUGGUCCAUUUACAUAUAUGACACAACGCCAACGGAGCUACGGACAAAUAGUUACGACCUAAACCGUUUUCAACACGUCGACAUGCAAAUCGAAGCAAACAACACACCUAACAAAUUUUAAUAUGCAUGAGAGUUGGUUUUUUUGAAACUACAGAAAAUUCUAAGCAACUUACAUGUUGAAAUCAUUUUAAUCCGGUGCACGGUUAAAUUUAUACGAAUUUUACAAAAGGGCAUUUGAAUCUGUCCAAAAUAAAAAAAAAUGGAAUUGCUAGGAUUUGAACCCCAGAUCCCUUGGAUGGACAUUAAUAGCCCUACCACCAGACUAAUUAAGUGGUUGUGUCACAAUUGACAAAACAACACGUCAAAAAGUAUGACAGAAGCUGUUGCGCUGGACGCAAAAUUCCUAAAAAUAUAAUAUGCAUUGAUGGGGAUUUGAUCCCUAGAUCCCAUGGCAAAACUAGCUAGCGCUAACCACUACGCUAACACAUAUGAUUUGUACUGGAACCAGAAUGGAUACUCUAAAUAGCGUGGGUAUUCCUCCUGACGGAUCUAGAAAAGAAAGGAGAUCAGAUCGGGAGGAACUGCUCACAUCGGGGAAUGGAUGAAGCCAGCGAUGAGAUCCGCCCGACCUGGUGCAAGUCCGCGACGAACAAGGUGCUCCGACGUCGGCUCUGGUGACUGGGCCUCCAUUCCUCGCAACGGGAGCUCGAUCCGACGCACGAGCACAUGGGAGAGGUCCAACUCAUGCUUGCUAACAACCAUGUUCCUGAACCAGCGAGAGAAAGAAUUCAGAGGAAGAGAGAGACUCGAGGGGAGAGA